UGAAUUAUGUGUGUUUCGUUUGUUGUUGUCACGACUUUUGGAGUAAAAACGUUGUCCAUUAUUUCCAACAGGGAAGUGCCCGCGUUGAGUAAAAUUUGUUGAAACUAGCGGCUGCAUGGUUUGUUGUUCCAACCGACGAAGAUAACUUUCAUGGCCAAUUAACAAAUCAUGUAGCUCCUCAAACUGAAUGGGAUAUUCUCUGGCUUGUAUUGGUGCAACAAUUUCACUAAAGUCUGGACCCAGUCCAUUUAAAACAUAAAGAGUCAGAUCAUCAUCAGUAACAGGAUGAUCAAUCCUGGCAAGUUCAUCAGCUGUGAGUUUAAUCGCCUGGAUAAAUUUAGUGACAGUCCUACUGCCACGAUGAUCGAGGGUGAGAUUUUCCUUCAACUGUAUUGCACAGGUGCAUGAUUUUCCUGCAUACAAACAUGUUAGUUUGUUCCAAGCUUCAUAGGAGGUUUUGCAUGAAGCAAGUAGAGGUGUGAUGGUGGUGGAUGUUGAGGCUAGCAAUGCAUGAAGAAUCAAUUUAUCUUGGCGAAUUUUCAGUGAGAGUUUGCAGCUUUGGAGACAGCAGAGUUUUCAGUAUCAACUGCAGGACACUAGAGAUCACUAGUAACAAAAUUCAUGAGAUCAUAGCCAAUAAGUAAGGCUUCAAACUGUGCUCUCCAUUGUGGAAAGGUGGAGGCUGUAAGUUUUUCAUUGAUGGCAAUAGCAGAAUUGAUAGUGAUGAUUUGGUCAGGGGUUGAAUUGAUGGAUGCGGAAGAAGACAUGGUGAAGGUUUAGGAACGAUACUCGUUAGAGAUUGAAACGCUCUGAUACCAUAAAGGAGAAGACAAAAGUUUUGAAUUUUGCUUAAUUCAUUCAAACUGCAAAACGUAAUAUAUAUAUAUAUAUAGAAUACGGAGUGCUAAGUAUGGAAGGCUUAUAAAGGAAAGAAUACAAACCGAAUCCCUAAUUCUAGCUGAUCCCUGAUUCUAGCUAUAGUAAUAGGAAAAAUACAAGAAACCGAUCCUAGCUUUACAGUGACUAAUCCUUGAUUGUAGCUUGCAGUGAUUAUUGAUUUAUACUGUCAUGAAUCUUGUUGUUGCAUGAGUUGAUCAUGCAAUAAUAAUUUGCUGAAUCCUGCUGUUGCAUGAGUUGAUCAUGCAAUAAUAAUUCACGUGAGUUGGCAGUGUGAUCUCCCUUGAUACUAUCAUAAAUCAUGCAAUAAUAGCUUACAUGAGGUGGUAGUGUGGUUUUCGUUGAUAUAGUUUGCUUUAGUCCCUCCCCUCUAAAAGCUUGAGUUGUAUUUGUAUUUGGAUUAAAUUUUAACUUCACAACUUUCUUUUUUUUUUUUUCACUGGAAAAUGUUAAUAAUUUCCUGGAAAUUAACCUUGCCAUGGAAAACAUUCAGCAGAGUUUUUAUGAGCACACGAUCACAAACAUCAAGACCACGCAAAACAAGCACACAAGUUUUCUUAAGAAUAAAAAUACAAGUAAUCUAUCUUGCCUCUAACACUGAAACUGAGCAUACGUUUGCCGAAGGUGGUUUGCUCUCGCUCGAUGAAUAGCUUGCUCCAACAAGAUCCCUUUCAGUGAAAAAUCCUGGUUGUUUAGGAUGAGGCAAUUCAUCUUCAUUACCCAACAUCAAAACCACAUAUGACAUGUUUGGUCUAUCUUCUGGAUUUUCUUGCACACACAACAGCCCUACAUGAAUUGAACGUAGCACUUCAGACAAAUAGGGUGUUUCAACUUUUGAUCCCGCAGCCAGUUCCAGAGGCCUGCCUUGUUUGAACAGUCUCCAAGCCUGAUAAACAAAACCAUGUUGUCAAUAACACAUUGAAGAUUUAAGGUGCUCAGGUCUCAUUAAACAUGCGCGGCAUUUGGUAUCUGGAAUAUAUUGAAGUUAAAGAUAAUCUGUGACACCUACAUGCCCAAUAAGGUUGAGGUGGUGAUCUGGAUGAUGGAAUCCUCUGUUCUUAUAGCCACUCACUAUCUCUAGCACCAAUACUCCAAAGCUGAAGACGUCUGAUUUUAGGGAGUAGAGCCCAUAAUUUGCGUACUCUGGAGAUAUGUAACCACUGCAUGUAUUCAUAGAAUUUUAAGUUUCAUUUGCAGACUAUGAAGAUAAAAUGCGUAUGAUAGAAAUGACACUUACUACGUUCCAGCCACUUUAUUAGUAUUGGCUUCAGUUUCAUUUUCUCCAAAACUUCUAGCCAGGCCAAAGUCUGAGAUUUUUGGAUUCAUUUCGUGAUCCAACAAAAUAUUGCUGGUUUUUAGAUCUCUGUGGAUUAUUCGUAGUCUCGAAUCUUGGUGAAGAUAAAGGAGUCCUCGAGCAAUCCCGUUGAUGAUGUUGUAGCGCUUAGGCCAAUCUAGUAGCAAGCUUCGAGUCUCAUCUGCCCAAGUCAAUCCAUUACAUCUCUUAUCAGAUUCAUAAAUGUUGGUGAAGGAACAAGAAAAAAGGAGAUGAUAAGUUACGAUCACUGAAUUUUGAGUUACAAUUACAUAUGCAAAAUGAAAGUGGAAAACUCUUCCCCUGCAAAGCCAGCUUCCCAAGGGCUUUGAACGAUGCUCAAUAGAUGGCUAAACAAUUGAUGUCAUAUCCAUUAUGGAAGCUCAAUAGUGCUAGAUUUGAAACAUUGGAAUAGCUUUUUGAAAAGUUCUGUGAGAUUCAUACCAAAAAUGUAGAAGUCCAAGCUUUUGUUAGGCAAAAGCUCGUAGACCAACAUAUUUUCAUCUCUUUCAAUGCAGCAUCCAAGAAGCCUCACUAGAUUCCGGUGCUGAAGUUUCACGAUAUGUUUGACUUCAUUUUUGAACUCAUCAAGUCCUUGUCUUGAAUUCUUAGAGAGCCUCUUGACAGCUAUUUCUCGUCCAUCUGUUAAUGUUCCCUGUAAAUAAUUACUCGGCAUCAUAAGCAAAUCAUACGUUGUCUGCCUGAAUUCUUAGAGAAUUUCAUGCAGCUUGUAUCUGUUCAGGAAUUCUUUCCAAUCAGUCAUCCUUUUAUGCUAAAAAAAGGUUGGUUCUGUAGUGGAACAAUUUCAAUACCACAGAACUCCAUUGGUUCCUGGAGUUUGUACCAUGAAAAGUCAGAAGCUAUAUUGCACGGCUGUUUAAAGAUAAUUAUUACCUUAUAAACAGGUCCGAAACCCCCUUCCUAGUUUAUUGGAUACAGAAAAGUUAUUUGUUGCACAAGCCAACUCAUCCAUGUUAAAGAAGGGUAAUUCUAGUUCCUUCAAGUCUUGUUAUUUGAUCUUCUUUGCAAAUUACCUGUCAUUUUUCCUGUCAGGAUAACUGUUAUGCUUGUUGAAAAAAGAAAGAAAGACAAAGGAUCUCUAUUUGCUGCUAAACUCAAGAUUUUUAUAGCAUCAAACAAAACUGGGCUUUGAACAACUUACAGUCAUACCUUAUAUUACUGAAAAUCAAAUUCAAUUUUUUUUUUUUUUAAAAACCAAUCUUGUAUCUGAUGAUCCAGGACUGGUGCGAUAGGAAUACUUAGAUUUUGAUGGUGUGAAUACGUACUGUUUUUCUGCUGCUUCUUUUUCCAAACAUACAAGACCAAGCAUAGGCCAAUGCACAGAAUCCCAGUGGACAACACAGAGCUUACUAUGAUCCUUUUCUUCACUUUGGAUUUGCUAUUAGCUUUCGCAGAGUCACCGUUAUCUAUAACAUGGUACAGAAAAACUGGUGUUAAAAAGAGGAAAUGCCAAAUGCCUUCUGUAUUUUUUUGGUUAGUUAUUAUGGAUGGAAAGUUUUCAUUGGCCAUAUAAGAUCUGGAUCAUUCAAGCAAGGAAACUCUGUUGCUGAUAGCCUUGCAAGGAAAGGUUUGGAUACGCUCAGAGACUAUAUAGCUUGCUUUUAAGAUUUUUAAACGUUGUAUCAGCUUACUAGUUUGAAUAUAUUUAGAAUUUUAAUAAUAAUAAUAAUAAUAAGAAAAAAAAACGACUUCUCUAAUCUGAGGAAAAAUUCAUACCUAGUUCUGAUGCAGCCAUCCGUAUAAAAAUGUCUUGCUCAUUUUGAAGGAUAGUUCUCAUAUCAAUCAAAUCAUUGAACCAAAGCAAGCAACCGCUUCCUCCAUCCCUGAUGUCCAAGUUUGCAUACGCAGUACAGCUGCAGUUCUUCAAGCAUGUGUUCUUGCACUCCUCCAGGUUCAUACUCCUGUUGAACCAUGAUUUUCUUGUCUCCGGCAUCUUCAAUCCUCUGAGCUUCCGAAACCCAUCUCUGGAACCAUUUAGUGCAGUCUUUCUAACGCAACCACUUGACCAAUCUGUCUUCUUCCAGUCUCUUGGAACUUUUGGUACAAAUCCAUUCAAGCAAUCGCAAACUGGAGAGUGGUCAAUGCUACAGAUACCAUUUGCGCCACAGAGGUUAUAACGCUCACAAUUAUCUGUAUUUGCUGUCGAGUAAAGAAACCAGCUUUGGGUUUGCUCCAUCCACAGAAGGAUCAUGAAAUCACAACUCUGAAUUAAGACGACUCUCCAAUGCGUUGAGUUAUUAACAACAUUUUCUCUGUAAAAUAUCUCCUUAUCAUUAAAAACAAAUUCAAAUGUGUAUAUUGGAUUUGGUUUUAACCGAGGCAAGCCACUGAACCCCAGCCCAUUCCAUGGCCCACUUCGAUACUUCACCUUUGAAUCUUCAAACGCUGCAUACUCCGGAUAUCCAUCAGGAAUAAGGGCGCCUGUAACAUUACCUCUGGAAGGAUCAUCUUGUGACUUCCAUGAUGUCAAGUGCCACUCCAUGCCAGUUAUUAUAUUCCGUCCCAUCUUCAUGCCCGGUAAUAGUGUGUUAGAUGGAUGUUCAAAACUCUGCCACAAGGAAUUUUCCAUGUUAUUAUCACCCUCCUCUUUCACAACAAGGUUUCCUGAAUCCAAAAGCUGUGCAACUGGAUUCCUAGCAGGUGCUGAUGUGUUGGAAGACCAAAUGAUGCUUCCACUACGAUUGAGAAGGACAAGAAGUCCUUGGUUGGUAAGCUUUACAACUCCUGAUGAAUCGUUAAGUGGAGUUUCUCUGUUGGCAACCCAAACUGCUGUCUGUACAGAUAUUUUGCCAUACCAUAUCCCCAAGUAUCGGCUUUUGGAUUUCCCGGGGCUGAAAAAUCCUAAUUCAUAGGUCCCGCCAGCUGAAACUAUAGUGUCUCCAUCUCUAAUGAACUGGGCUGUGUUUAUGGUGUCAGUAGGUGUGGCUGUUCUUACAAUCAGAAACGAAAUGAAGCAGAAAACAAGCAUGGGGAUGUAGUCCAUUGGUGCUCUCACUUUGUUAUAUUACAAAAUGGCUGGCCUUGCUAGAUGUGAAAAUAUUCGUCUCAAGGAAUUGCCUAUUUAACAUCACAAUUAGUCUACAGAGAACGCAAGACUCUGGAAAUUAUUGGCUCUGAAGUGACCCUUGUGUUCCAAAAAUGGUUGACACUGCUUUAAACAUCAAGCUUAAGGAAUCAUUUACUUUGAAAAUUUAGGCUAGUGGACUCUGAAUUACGAACCUAUAAGCUUAAGAUCUCUUUUCCAUUGCUUGAGUUCGUUGGAGUACCUAAUCUUGGAACACCGGAUGAAUCGCUAAGUGGAGUUUCUCUGUUGGCAACCCAAACUGGCGUCAGGACCGGUAUUGUACCAUACAAUAUCCCCGAGUAUCGGUUUCUGGAUUUACGGGGGCUGAAAAAUCCUAAUUUAUAGGUCCCACCAGCUGAAACUAUGCUAUCUCCAUCUCUAACUGGCUGAGUUGGGUGCUUAGUGUCAGUAGGGGUGGCUACCUUCACAAUCUACAACGAAGCACGGAAAUAUAAUCCAUUGGCACUCUCGUGAUUGUUUCAAGGAGCUCGCUUUGUUAUGUUAUAAAAUGAUUGGCCUUGCUAGAUGUGAAAAAUAUUCGUCUUAAGAAAUUGCCUAUUUAACACCACAGUCAGUCUACCGGUAAACACUCGUCGUCGGAAUUUUUUUGGUUUGUGAAAUUAGCAUGCAUAAUUGACACAGAUAGUCAACACUCAGAGAAGGAAGCUCCGGCGAUGUCAUGUACUAAUGAUUUUACUAUGUUUAAAAAUUAAAAUGAUAAAAAGGCUCUAAUAUCACUUUUAAAAUUUUUGCUUUUAAGAUAAAUUAAUAAUUUUAUUGUAUUUAAAAAAUUAUAUAUAUAAAAAAAACUAUAGCUCCAAUCAAUAUAAUAAUAAUCACUAGAGCAUUCAGAAAGAUAAAACUACUCCAAUCAAUAUAAUUUUUAGUGUUUUCAGAUUGAUAUACUAGUAUUAAAAGUAAUUUAAAAAAAAUAAAAAAUUAUUAUUUUAAUAUAUUUUAGAAUAAAAAACACUCAUAAAUACCCCUAAAUUAUCUAGAUAAUUGAUCACUCCAUCUCAAGAACGACUGUGUUUAGAGCAAUCAACACUCCAAUUGAAGAGUAACUUCUCCAGGAUAAUUUUGAAAAGUUUUUUAUUUAAUAUUUCUCUUUUGCUAUUCUGACAAGGUAAAGAUCCCGUGCUUGAUAUAUUUUUAAAAGAAAGAUAAAUCCUAGAAAAUAAUUAUAGAGUUAUCCAGGAAUUUCUAGACUAAAUAAAAAAAAUAAAAUUACCGAUUAUAAUAUCUGAUUUGUUAAACUAAGUAGGAUAAAAUAAAAUAAAAAACUUAAAGAAAAUAUUUUCUUAAACUAAAUAGAAACAAAUAAAAAUAAUUAAGAAAACCAAUAAAUUUUCUCUAAAAACAAUACAAACCUCGUAAUAAGAUAUCUCAAAACCACUUUUAAAAAAUAAAAUCAAUCAAAUAAAAGAAGAAAUGGAUCCAGAUCUACCUUUCUCAAUAUGUUUAGAUGGAGAUACCAUCUUCAUUGAACUCUUCUUGAGAAGAUAACUCAUCAAAACAAAGAUCAUCAUUUUUAGUUUUUAUAAUAUAGUCAAUCGACAUGCAACUUCUUUUUAUUUUAUCAUUUUUUGACAACUUUUUUUUAUCUUUUCAAAAUCAAGAAUUGAAAAAUUAACAAAAUAAAAUUUUAAUAAAAAUUCUAAAAAUCUUUGUAGAUGUUUUAUAUUGUGAUUCUGUCUCUUUUAAGUUUUUAUCUAGAACAAUUUGAAAUUUUAUUUCAUGUAUUGAUCAUAAUUGUUGUAGAAUUCAUGAUAAUUUAAAAAAUUGCAUAAAUUAAUAAAAAAUUUCAAAAUGUUAUAUUAAAUUACGUGCUAUAAUAUAUUUUUAACAUGAUUUAAAUCAAAUAACAUAUAACUCCUUAAUUAAAAAAAAUAUAAUUACAAACUUAAAAAUUGAAAUUACGUGCUAUAUGUUUCUUGUUAAAAUAGAUCGAUCAUUAUAUGCUUAAGUUAAUGUUAAAAACAAUUAGAUAAUGCUAACUAAAUACUUAGUUAUGAAGCUGAGAAACAUAUGUAUAUUAAGAAAUCUGAUCUUGUGCUACAAGGAGCCCUUUAUUAUUUAUUUAAUUAUAUUAAAAUAAUAUUUUUUUAUAAAAAGAGUAAUAAUUUAAAUUUCAAAGAAAAAAACUAAUUUGUUAGUAUAAUUAAUCCUUUUCUUAUUAAUAUUAUUAAUUCAAGAAAAAAAAUAUAAUUCAUUGCUCUAUCUAAUUAAUUUAAUAAAAAUUAAAAGUAAUCAGAACACACCUAAAAAAACUUGGACAAUUCAAAAUAAGGAUAAAAAAAAUUUUCUUGAACGAAGACUCCUUUGUCUAAUUAACGUGCUAUUUUAAAAAAAAUUUUUGAAAAUGUGUUAAAUAAAACAUAAUUGUGAAAAAAAAGUGAUAAAAAAACAUAAUCUUAUUAAAAAACCAACUAAAAAUUGAAUGAUAUUUAAUGAAAUAACAUCACAAAAACAUUUGAAAUAAUUUAUUUUAAUAAAUCUCAAUUAAAAUUGACGACAACCUAGGUCGGGCAUCCCAAAUGCAUUUUUAAUAAAUCUACUGUAAUUAAUUUAAAUUUAAAUUGAAGAAAAAAAAAUUAAAGGUCAAAAAGAGGACAUGGAACUCAUUUUGGAUAAGCCAACAUGUGUGGUUAAUUUAGAUUAAGAGAGAAGUUGAUAGGGAGAGAAGAAGAAAAAUAGAAGACAAAUGAAAUUAGAGAUUCUGAUCUUUUAAUUGGGGCUUUAUAGCAACAUUAUUACUGAUGGAUAAUUAAAUAUAUAUUAAUUUUUAUAAUUCAUCGAUAAUUCUAUUGGACAUUAAAACUUAGAAUCUUGAAAUUUUGCAAACUCCCCCCUCCACAAGAUUAUCCGAUGAAUUUUAUGUUCGUCAAUGAUUCCGUAUGUAAUUAUUAGUGGGAAAAUCUGUAAUUUUCUUUAUAUUAGUGAUUUUGUCUGUAAUUAUCAAUGGCAAGGUCAGGUAAUUUUUUUUCAACUCUUUAAAACUUUUUGAAGGACUUAGUUUGUGAGUGAUUUUGUCUGUAUUUGUUAGUGGUAACGUCAUAUAAUUGUUUUCUAAUUCUCUAGAACUUUCCGAGGGACUUAGUCCAUCGGUUAUUCCAACUGUGUUACUUAAUAUGUCCGUCAUGUAAUUUUUUUUCAAAGAGUUUUUGCAUUCCAUAUCUAUCCAACUUACAUAUACAGUGAAAUCACAACACAAUAAAAUUAUUUGUGUUCAUAAUAAUAAAAUCACAACAACAAAUGUUUCAUCAGUGUUUAACAAUUUAAUUAGAAUUAUCUUCUUCUUCAUCAAUUUUAUCAUCGUAAUGUUUAUCAUAAUUUUCUUUAUUGAAUUGAUACUUAUUGAUAUCAUCAUCUUCAUCGACUUCUAUAUGUCCAUUGGUUCUCAAUAUAUUAUUUAACUCCUCAACAUUAACAUAAAAAAAAUAUUCUCAAUAAUAUAAAAAUUUUAUUUUUCUUCUAAGUCGGUAGAUGGAGCAACUCGAUAUGCAUCAACUAACUCAUGAAUUUGGAAGACAUCAUUUACUAUAAUUACUUUAUCAUUACCAUCUUGAACAACUUGGACAUGAUAACUGGUUUUGGUUUUCACUAUGAAUAACUAAUCAACUAUAAAACGAGCCUUUCCAAAUGAAGGAGUUUAUGUAUAAUAAAUUUGUGUCCAAUGCUUGGCAAAAAAAAAAAAGACAUCGUCGAUGUUAUGAAAUCUAGACUUUGUAUUAAUUUCAACCAAACUAUGGUGGUAAAUCUACUCUUAUUCCUCUAUCGGUGAUAUCAUACCAAUAAUAUUUGAAUAAAAAAACUUUAUUAAGCUCGCUAUGAUAUUUCAAUUAAAUAACUUCUUCUAACUUUUCAUAAUAAUCAGCUUCAAACUCAUUAGAAAUUGAUUUCUUAACACAAACUCCAUUAUUAUAAGUUUUUCUACCUUAAUCAUACUUUUCAGUAUGAAGGACAUAUUCAUUGAUAAAAUACUUUUUAUAGCACUUGACCUUUCUUUCAAGACCCAAACAAAGUAUGUUCAGACUAUCAUUAACAUUCCCUCUCAAUUAAUAAAUCAGUUAUAUGCUUACAAUGAUUAACAAUUAAAGAGAAAUGUUUAAUGAAAUUAUGUAUUAAUAAAAACAUUCCCUCCCACGUGAAAAAAUUGAGAUUGAGUCAUUUGUGAAUUUUGAAAUAGUACAAAUUAGCGAUGUAGCCUACAAUGAGUUUUUUAAUUUAUUGGUUUAUAAGAGUAUAAGAGAAAUUAUUUAAUAAUAACAACGUGUUAAUAUUAUACUUACUAAAUAAAAUGUCUUAAUUUAUUGUAGUUAAAUAGCAUAAAAUUAUAUACAUGUUCGUAUUCAAUUUUUAUCAAGUAUUUUCCCCUCACAAUAUUUUUUGGUAAAAUUCAUCUAGAAUGGAAAAAUAUUGACAAAUUUCCAUUUGAUGGCACUUCCUCACAUCAUUAUGACUUGGGAAGCGGUCGAUUCUUAUUAUAAAGUGAGGCUUAAAAUAAUACAAGAUAAAUGUUGAGAUCUAUUUAACAAUAUAAGCCUCACAUAUCAAAACCUUAACAUGCUCCUUCUUUUUAUUUUUCUUCAGGUUGAACAAGUAUCUACAUGGAAUUAAAUGAAUGUUUUAAAUUAAAAAAGUAUAAUAGAUAUUUAAUUAAAAUGAAUGUGUAAUCCUUAACCUCUCAAAUGGAUACAUCCAUCUUUACUGAACAAAGCCUCUAAUUUUUACCUCAAAUAGUAGAUUUAUGGGUUGAUACUCCAUUGAGUCGAAGAAUGAUGAAGGGAAUAUCAUCUCAAGUUUUUAGAUUUUCUAGAUGAUAAUUGUUUCAAGUUUCUCCAUGUGUUGGGUAUGUAACUUUUUAGAGCAUAAAUCUCUACAAAAUAGAUUAAUCUCUAAGAGUGCAUCCCAUAUCCUUUUUGGCAAUAAAUCCCGAUAUGCAAAUUGAAUGAGUGUUUAUAUAAACACGUGACAGUCAUAACUUUUCAUUUCAUAUUAUUUAUCAUCCUUCAGAUUCACCAAUCUAGAUAUGUUCAAAGCAUAUCCAUAAGGAAAACACAGACUUUUAAGUCAUUGAUAGACAAGUAACUGUACAUUCUUAUUGAAGGUGAAACUGACUUUGGGCUCUGCGAACCGUGACCCAUCGUAAACUAACUCCACAGUCUUGUAGUGACAAAAUAAAUGUAUAUCCAUUCUUGCAAUCAUGGUCUCCUUUUUCUUUCCUUUCAUAUCCAUUACCGUGUUAAAAAUAUUUUCAAACAUGUUCCUUUUGAUAUACAUGACAUCCAAAUUAUGGAGGAGAAGAUUAUUAUUCCAAUGAGGAAGCUCCCAAAAACAAUACUUUGCUUAACCCAAUUGUUGGUCACACCAAAACCAAUAAAUUUCUGCUUACCGGAUUGAAAACCAAACAUAAAGCCCUUGUAUUGUGAGACCACGCCAUACAAUUCUUCACCCAUGGUACUGAUGGUGCAACAUCCCUUUCAACUUUACCUAUAAAGAAGUCCUUUAUGUUCUUUCUACACUUGUGAUUGAUUGACAAGAACCUUUGGUAGAAAUAUAAAAAGAAGUUUUACCUCCAUUUGUUAAGGUAAAGGCCUUAUGAUUAUCCAUAAAAUAUAGACAUGCUAAUUUUCUAUACAUGCUUCAACCAAAACCAUCCCAUACACAAGAAAAUCAUUGAUAGUCUAUAUCAAAGCUACCAUCAUCUAAAAAUUUUGUUUCCUCAUGACAUCAUAUGUUUCCUCAACAAUUGAAGACAAACAUUCAUAUUCCUAUAUAGACUAUUAAAAUUAGGUAUGAUUGUAUAUAUAUAUAUAUAUAAAAAUAAACUUCGGCAUCAUACACAUUGUUGUUACUCAUUUUUAGGCCCUAUGUGUUGAAGAUGGUGUGUAUCUCUUUUGAACCAAUCGCAGGAGUUUAGCUCAUGGUUUCUGGAAGAUUGACAAAAGCAGAGAAUAAAGAAGUGUUUUUCAAACACUAUUUUAGCUGUUUUCUGCUCUCCUUAUCCUCUCUCUUUGUUGUCAAAAUUGUUAGGAUUAUUAGGAUAAUUAGGAGUUUUCAUAAUGCUAAAUUUGUUCUUUUUUUAUCCGGUCUUUAAGGUUGGAUAAAUCCUCAGAAUUUGCAUUAAAAAAUUGAUUAUGAUGUUGUCAUAAUUUGUUGUAAUACCAACUUUGUUCCAACUUAGACUUUGAUUCUGACUUGAUUUCAUACAAUAUCUGACCAUCCUAGCUAUAUUAUGUCAUUCAUGACAUAUUAAAGUAUUGAUCUGCACUUUUAUUGGGUCCUAGGGCCCACUGUUUUUAGGUCAGACUCUCAGUCAUAUUGGGAUGCUUGGCAUUGUCAGUUUCUGAAACAGAUCAAGAAACCCUUUUUGACCAACCAAAUUGCGGCCAUAUUCUAUUCUUCAAAGUGAUUUUAUCUAACUUUGAAUCCUUCAUAAAAUUUAUAGUCAUGUACGUGUAGAUGAAUUUGGGUUUUUGAAUUGCCUAAUUUCGAUAUCAAAAGCCCAAGAUAUUCCCAUUUGAAUAUAUAUUAUGAAAGUAGGGAAUCCUGCUGCGAGAAGGAUUCUAGCCCGAGUUCGCAAGUUUGAUUCAAGGAAUUACGAGCCGAUUUAAAGGAAUUUUUUAGGACCAAGGAAUGAAUUAAAAAGUAUUAAAAUGAGGGAUUUAAUUGAAGAUGAAAUUAGAAGGAAAUUGGUUGGGUUUUAAGAAGUUGAAAAAGGGGACUAGAUCAUCAAAAACUGAUAGGAAUUCUACCACGCUAGAUAAGAAAAUAAGACUUUGCAACAUGGUACUAUUCAUUUGUGUUUUGAACAGUACUCCUCCCUGUCUACAAUUCUUUCCUUUUCUCUGCACAACUAUUCCCGUUAGUUUCCAUUAUUCUCUUGCUUGAUUUUUGAGCUACAGAUCAUGUUUUUUUUCUGCCUCAAACCGAAGGAAAUAGUUAGUCUCAUGGUGCCAGUUGUGGGAGGGCUGAAAGGAGUUGCACCACCCUUUAAUCACGGGAAAAUAACAUCUAGAAUCAUCAGAACAUCAAUCAAAAUAGUAUGUUUUCCUAAUUCAUUUUAUCUGAUUGUAAGUAACCCGAAAUUGUAUCCUAGAUUAGUGUAUUUUGUUUUCUAAAUGGAGUUGUGUAUAUGCUAGAUUAAUGUCUUCUCCUAUCAGUUAUUAGGUAAGCACCCUGCAUUCUUUUCACUUUUCAAAUUUAAUUACAUAGUUACUGUAUAAUUCAUUUGAACAGUAACUAAGGGGGCAUUGUUUGCCCAGCUAGGUCACUAGUUUUGCAAGUGACCCAGCUAGGUCGGUUGGGUCCAGCCCAACCACAUGGGUUGAGCUGGACCCAGCGUCAAUAAAAAAAAUGAGUAAGAUUGUUAGUUUUCUUGUAUAUUUAUUUUGUGGUUUGUAUUUUUAUAUUGUAAAAAUACCAAUUUGUUAUUAAAAUACCUGAAUUUUUUCAACGAAUUUUUUUUAUGCAUACAGCCAAUACCCUAACAUAUUUUGAACAUUCCUCUUUUAAAAAGAAAAAAAAAUAUUCGAAUUUAAAAGAAAAUGUGUUUUAGCAUGGAUUUUACAACAUGUUUGUAAGUUCCAAAAGGUGGUGGCCAAUAUUUCAAAAAUAUAAAAAUCUUAUUUUUGGGGAAUUCAUCUAUUAUUCACUAUUAAUAUUUGGAUAAAGAAAUCCCAAAGGGGUUAAUAUCCAAAAUAUUUUGUCUAGGAAUAAUAAGUCAUUAUCUUUUAAUAAUAUAAGGACAAAAAAACCUAUGAAAGGUAAAUGUCUGAAAUAUUGUUGAGAGUAAUACAACUUGUUUGUUUUUAAUAUAAGGGUAGAUUUGUGCCCAAAAUGUUAUUUCGAACAAUUUAAUUGUAGAUCGUUGAAAUAAGUCUCAAUUAUAAUUGGGGACAUUUCAAUUUUUGUAACACGGUUUAUGAGUCGUGAAACUAUGAAAUACUAAGGCAAAAAUGAGUUUUUAUUAAGGAAAGAGACCUUAUAUAUGUAAACACUCUUAUAUAGGAAUAGUUAUCGUAUGUAAUACAUCCCACCAUUAUAUUGUACACAACCCUACAAGUAUAAAUACAAAGGAUGGCUGCUACCCUUAGACAACCAACACAAUUAAUACAAAACUAUCUCUCAAUUAACUUAACUUGGUAUCAGAGAUGCGGUUAUCAUUCAACAGCCUUCUUCUGCAACAGCUGCAACUCUCCAGCUUAAUUGUUUCAACCAGCAUCCAUCCUUUCUUCUUUGUAGCCGUUCUUCCUCUAUUAUAUUUGCCAGCAGUAGUUUCUUCUUAGCAGAGAUCAUUCAUCUUCUUCCUCUGUUACUUCUCAUCAGCAUCCACAAAAUAAAAACUACAACUUCUCCUCCUUAGCAACAUGGACAAUCAAGAACUUCAACAGUCUGCUGGCGCAGCAUCAGCUCUUCAAUCUUCUUUCUCCCCUGUGGCGCAAUCAGUUAUGUAUGGCACAUCCCCUACUGCCUCCAUUAUCCCUCUUCCUAACACACACCAGGCAGUCUCUUUAAAGCUCUCCAACCAUAAUUUCCUGUAUUGGAGGAUGCAGAUGAAACCGUUUCUCUUGGGCCAAGGCGUUUAUUCAUUUAUUGAUGCACAUCACCAUGUCCUCCUUCACAUCUAGCAUCCGCUAAGACAUCUACACUCUCUGUCAACCUUGCAUAUUUGUCAUGGAAGCAGCAAGAUCACCUAAUCAUGAGUGCCCUUCUAUCUUCUCUCUCGGUGGAAGUUCUACACUUGGUUGUAGAUUGUAACACUUCCCAUGCCAUCUGGACAACGCUGGAAACAACUCCUUCCUCUUCCUCAAAUUCUAGGAUUAUGUAGCUCCAUAGCUCAUUCUAGGAUUUAUGACAGAAUGAUGAUUCUGCCAACAUUUACUUACAGAAGUCAAAGGCCUUGUUUAAUGAACUGGCUGCCGCUGGCAGACCAAUCUCCCUAUUAGAAUUUAACUUGUAUGUAUUUCGAGGGUUCCACGGUGAGUUUAAGGAUAUUGCCACCAUCUUGUCCGCUAAGGAUGCUCCCAUCACCUAUACUGAUCUCCAUAGCAGCCUUCUUACACAUAAGUUUCUUCACAAAGCCUCUCUCCAGCAAUUUGUAACAGUUCGACUGUUACCAACUCCAACGCAACAGCCAGCUGCGUUCUUUAUGCAACAUCAAUCUAGUAGAUGGGGUCGUUUUCAUGGGGACUAUAGACCUAACAAUCACAACAAUUUUUAUCGUGGCAAUGGACCAACUCAUAGUUAUGCUUCAGGACAACAACAUAGCCCACAUGGAAACCGGUUCUCCUUUGGCACUUCCUCACGACCAACAAGCAGUUUUGGGCAACAAGGAAAUCACUUUGGUGGUUAUACUUGCAAUAUAAAAUGUCAGUUGUGUUAUGAAUAUGGGCAUAUAGCUCAAUAGUGUUCUCAGUUGGCUACUCAUCAUAUACAAGCUAAUGCUAAUCUUGCAUUUAAUACUACCUCUUCCGCUACUCCUGGUACUUGGUCUCCUAAUACAAGUGCAAAUCAUCAUGUCAUGCCAGACUUUGUAAGUAUGACGAGUUCAAAACCUUAUCUUGGAAAUGAUCAUCUGCAUGUUAGUGAUGGUGAGGGCCUUGUUAUCUCAAAUAUUACUCACUUUAAAAUUCAAUCACCAAACCACAUGUUUACUUUAUCCAAUAUCUUACAUGUUCCUACCAUUAAAAAACCUCUACUAUCUGUUCAAAAAUUUUGUAUUGAGAAUAACGUCUUUUUUGAAUUUCAUUCCUCUCUAUUUUAUGUUAAGGAUCUCAUGACAAAGGAAGUUCUUCUUUCCGGUCAGAGUAAAGAUGGUCUAUAUGUUUUGUCCGAGUCGUCCGCAACGUCGUUGCCUCAAGCUUUUUCCUCUACCUGUCUAUCUACUUCAGCUGAUGUCUGGCAUCGUCGCCUUGGACAUCCUAGUCCACGUAUUCUGUAUUUGUUGGUGAAAAAUAAAAAAGUGUCAUGUACGUCCACUCAGUUUAAUUUUCAUUGUCCUGCGUGCCCUCUGGGCAAGUCAUCACGUCUGACUCUAAAAACUACGGGUCAUCAAACUCGAGCUCUUCUUGACUUGAUUUUUAGUGAUGUUUGGGGUCCAUCCCCUAUGUUGUCAUCUGAUGGUUUUCGCUAUUUUGUUAUUUUUGGAUGCUCAUACAAAAUUUAUGGUUUUAUCCCUUGGUUGCUAAGUCUGACGUUUUUGCAAUUUUUCAUCAGUUUCAGGCGCUUGUGGAGCGCCAAUUCUCCUUAAAAAUUAAGUUUGUUCAAACCGAUUGGGGUGGUGAAUAUUGAAAACUAAAUAUAUAUUUUAAAACGAUUGGUAUUCAUCAUCGUGUGAUCUGCCUGCACACUCAUGAACAAAAUGGCAUGGUUGAACGCCGUCAUAGACAUACUGUUGAAACUGGACUUACUCUCCUUGGGCAGUGUCACGCUCCCCUUAAAUAUUGGAUUUAUGCUUUUGAAAGUUCUGUUUAUUUGAUUAAUCGCAUGCCCACUCCAGUUCUUAAUAAUAAGACACCGUUUGAAUGUCUUCUAAAAUCGACUCCUGAUUAUGCGUUUCUUUGUACUUUUAGGUGUCUAUGAUUUCCUUUUCUUCAUCCAUACAAUGCUCACAAGUUAGAUUUUCGGUCCACUCCUUGUGUUUUUCUAGGAUAUAGUACCUUGCAUGUCGGUUAUCGAUGUGUCUUGAUUUGUCAUCCAAAUGAAUUUAUCUUGCUCGUCAUGUCCGGUUUCAUGAAAAUGUUUUUUCUCUUGAUAAAACUGAACAAAUUGCAGCAACACCCAAACAACCUGUUGUAACCCAUUUUUGGGUCCCCACAUAUAAAAUAAUAAAAUACAAAAAAAUUCAAAAAAAAUAUAUUACAAAAAAAAUAUAACAGUGAAAAAUGCCAGAGCGCCAUAAACAUGCUAAAAAAAAAUUUUGUUUGAGGAUUUUCAAAAAUAUAAAAAUUAUUUUUUGACAGUAUAUCAUUAACUGAUGAGAGCCCCGAUGAUAAAGAAAAUUCAAUUUGUGGAAGAAAAAUGCAAAAUCAGAAGUUUAUGGACUCAAUUAAAUUUUAUUGAAGGUUUAAUUGAAGUUAUGGAGAUUUUAAUUGCAACAAAAUUGAUUUUGGAGUUAAUUUGGGCUUUAAUUAGAAGAAAUUAAUUUUCUGGGGUCAAAUUAUAAUUUUUGGAAGUUAAAUUGGUCAAAUCAGGGGCUUAAUUGCAUAAAAAUUGAGGUUUAAUGGCCAAUUAGGGACUGAAUUGAAGAAAUCCGAGACCAAGGACUAAAUUGUAAAACGCGCGCAAAUGGAGGGCCGAAAUUUGAAUCUGAUUCUUUUGGCGCCUUUUUCCUUUUAAAUGAAACGGCGCGUUUUGACCAAAACGGCGCCGUUUCAUUCACUGUUGCAAAAAAAAAAAAAAAAAAAAAAAAAAAACAGAAGCCCAAAACGGUGCCGUUUUGACGGCACUGUAGCUCUUCUUCUUCCCCUGGACACACGAGGCAGGGGAAGAAGAAGAUUUUUUUCUUCCCCUUUUCGCCUAAUUACUUUCCCUCUUUUGCUCAAAAAGACGCCGAAACAAGGACACCACUUGCCGACCACUUUCCACGCGUUGGACGGGCGUUGGACGGGCGGCAGCACACCGGCCACCACCAUGACGUCCCCCCCCCCUGUUUUUCGCCUAUAAAAACAGGGGAGGAAGAGGAGAAAAGAGGACAACAGAGGGGAGAAGGAAGAGAGAAGAAAGAGAGAAAAGAAGAGAGAAGAGAGAAAAGAAAAGAAAAAAGAAAAAAAACAGAAACAGAAGAAAAGAAAAAAAAAAAACAGAGGAAGAAGGAGAAGAAAACCCGCCGGCCACUGCGCCUCCGCCACCGUCGCCGCCAGCAGCACCGCCACGACGCCACCACAGGUAAACAACCUCUGCCCCGUCUCCUUCGGCCCUUUGCAACUGCCUUCUUUAUUUUCAUGCAGAACGUGAAUUAAUUCACGUUCUGCAACUGAUGAGAGGCUGGUUACUGUGCUUAUGCACAGUAACCAGCCCAUUUAGUUUUGGGCCGGUUCGGCCCAGCCCACUGAAAUGGGUCGGGUCCGGCCCAUUUCAAUUUUUUUAUUUUUAUUUUAUUUUUUACAAUUUUUCCAACACAUGUUUUUAUCAAUUUUGCUUAAUAUCGGUCUGUAUUUUACAUCGUAAAAAAAUAAAUUCGGUAUUAAAAUACCCGGUUUUCGUCCCGCGGGUACUGUUCAAAUAAAAUAAGUAAUAAUCAAAAGAAUGAGGAUCAAUUUGAUAAAUAAAAAAUUUCAAUAAAAAAAUGAUAAGAAAAAGCAAAUAGCAAUUAUAAAAAUAAGGACCAAAGUUAAUAUAAAAAUAAAAAUUUUAAGAGAUGAAAUUGAAAAAUAAAUAUUCAAAACAAAAUAUAUAUAACAAUCAAAAGUUUGAGGAUCAAAUUUGAUAUAAUCAACAAAUAAUGACAUUUCUAAAUUUUUCACAAUUUCCGGAAAGUGUUUUCCCCUCAAAUUUUUCAGGAAAACACUUUCUGAAAUCCAAGCCAAAUUUUCCUUUUACUGGAAAGUGUUUUCCAUUGACCAACUUUCCUACUGGCAAACAAACACAAGAAAGUUUGGAAAAUGCUUUCCCGGAAACCACUUUUCAGAAAACAAACACAGCUAAAAGGAAAACACUUUCCUGAAAACCAAGUCAAUUUUUUUUUUUACUAAAAUUGACUGGAAAGUGUUUUCCGUUGACCAACUUUUCUAAUGACAAAAAACAUAGAAAGUUUGGAAAAUGAUUUCCCGGAAACUACUUUCCGGAAAACAAACAAGGCCAAGUAAUUCAACUAUAAAUGCUUUAUAGUAUGAGUGCUUCUAUUUCAACGAAGGAUCCAUUUUUGAUAGCAUUCCACGACUUUGUUUGCCUUCUCACUGGAUAGUUGUUUGAGGUCCAAUGACCUAGAGAAUAGUCAAAACCUUUAAGCGAGAAGAGGAUCAAAAUGUCGUCAUUUUGAUAAAUAUUUUUGUCAAUUUUUUUUUUAAACUACCACAUGGGGUAAAAUGACUUUAACAAAAAUUGGAUAAGAUAAACUUGUUUAGCAGCUGGAGGAUAAAAACUAGAUAAGAGAAACAUUAUCUGGUAGAUGAAUUACAAAAGUAAGAUAAGAUAGAUGUUAACGAAUGAUAAAAUAUAAGAUAAUAUAAACAAGUUUUUAACAACCAUAAAGAGAUAUUGUAGAUAUAUCCUUAUUUGGCGAUGAAAUAAAGUAUGUUAUUAUAAGAUAAUAUUUAAUUAAUAUCUUAGGAUAAUAAACAUAAACAAUGAAUAUAAAAACAAGUUUAGUUAAAGAAACAAAGACAUAGAUAGAAAUAUAAAAUAAAUUUGUUUUUAAGAUAAUUCUUGAGUAAAUUUCUAUGUUUUCAAAAACAUGAAGAGUAGGAAGACACAUUUUACUUGACCCCACUAUCCUUAUCUUUUUUGGUUUUGAAGCUAGAUAUGUUGCCCGUGCUAUGCUGUCGGCCGGGUUGAAUUUUUGCUAACAUAAAAAAAUCAAGGGGAUUUCAAACGAUGAAACAAAAAACAAUUAAUUUAAAAAAAUAGUGUUGAAGAAAAAACCCUUAAUUAUGAAAUUUGACAAGUUAUCUUUAUAACCAAAUAAAAAGAAAAGCGAAACAAUAAUAAAAUUCAAGGUUUAAUAACCAUCGAGAAAAAAAAACUCAAGUCAACCGUGUUAGUUUGUCAAAUUCGCAGUUCAAAUAAUUAAAUAAAGAUAACUUUAUAAAAAAAUUAUGAAAUUGAAUCCCUAAUAAAUCUAAUGUUGGACGAUAUAAUUACGAAAAACAACCGAAACACUAAAAUCCCAUAUUCCUUUAGUUUAGUAAGUUUUUUUGUUUUUUUGAAAUUUUGAUUUUAAUCUCCCUCCCAGUAUCAUUACUCUCAUUCUGUAGCGAGUCAAGGCAUGUUUGUCCAUGUUGUCUAGGCUACCAGUCUCUCUAUCAUUUCUAGCUUUAGUAGCAGGGAGUGAUUGAUCCGCAUGCAACAACUUGAGAGCUCACCGUGCGAUUCUUACAUCUCCCGUUUUUGUAUUUUAAAGAUAUUUUUAAAAGAAUUUAAUUUUUUUUUAUUUUUUUACUUUAAAUUAAUAUAUUUUUAAUAUUUGUAAGAUCUACGUUGAUAUUAAAAAUAAUUUUUUUAAAAUAAAAAAAAUAUUAUUUUAAUACAUUUCUAAAUAAAAAAUAUUUUAAAAAUUAACCACAAUCACAUUUCUAAACAAACUAUAGAUAGGACACAAGAAGGUAGAGAGACUAGGAGCUGAGACUGCUAGAUCUGUUGGACAUUUUAUGCCAUGGUUGGUUGGUUCGGAGGGAGGAAGGAUCGAGUGGGAGAUGUGAAAAUGUCCUAUAUAUAUAUAUAUACUUUUCUAAAGGUUAGUUUAUGUGAUGGUAGAAUGACACAAUCCUUUCAACCUAAUUUCACAGUCCUAAGAAAAAGCCAAGGUAUGUAUCGAUAACCAUAGAAACCCUAGAUGAUGAUCAACAUAUAUAUAUACACACCCUUCAUCUGCCAUACGGAAAUGCUUUGAGUUUUUCUUCUUCCUUAGUUACGUUUCCUUGGCCCAAGAUUAAUUUCUUAGAGUACUAAGAUUGACAUUUUCUUGCCAUUGUUAGCUGGGAGGGAGGAGGGGAGAUAUUGGGAAAGGAAAUAUGAGCUAAUACUUCUGAAACGAGUUGCUCUUUUCUUACACGAUAAAAAAUAUGAAUUUUUUUUAUAUGUUUUUUUAAUUUAAACUAUACACAAACAUAAUUUUAUUAUAGUACCUUUAUAUGUUUUUGUUAAGAAGAAACUAUUGAAUUUAUCUGUAAAAUUUUAUUUUAGAUACAAACAACCUAAAUGCCAAUUAGUGCAUAGUAUAUGAAUUCUAGUUAAAAAAAGGGGCAAAUUUAUCUCUCACAUACCUCAAUAGAAAAUCACAAAUCUGUUCUUUGUCUCGUUCAAGUGUGAAAACAAGAUUCUUAAGAGCAACCAAUCCAUGUCAAUAAAUACGGGAAAAAAAAAAAACCUUUUUGGCAUACGGUGGUUGCUCCUUGGUACAUUGGUUUUGGGUAGACAUGCAUCAAUGGACAUGGACCCCUAACCUACCAACCAUGUGAUAAAGUACAUGUGAUCAAUUAAGCAACAUAUAUGACUAGAAAAAGGUUAAAAGUUAACGUACAAGGGUGGUUCAUUCAUCUGAGAAUUGACGAGAACCUAUAUAUAUAUAUAUAUAUGACUAAAUCUAUAUUUAUAUGUAUGUUACCGACGUAGUAAUAAAUCUGUCAGGAAAUUAUAUUUAACAAUGACAAGUCCUUUAAUUUCUUUCCAACUUUCUGAAACUCUUCGAGGACCUAGCUAGCAUGUCAGUAAUUUUAUUGGUAUUCCACAUUCUGUCAGUAAUCCAUCAAUAUUAUAUGUAAUAUAUAUAUUUUAAAAAUAUUAAAAUAAAUAAUGCAAUCAAAACAUAAUUAAAAUAAAAUAAAAAUAAAUUUAUAUUAUUAAUUUAAAAAAUAUUAUUAAAUAUAAUUUAUUUAUCUAGUGGACAUAAACUCGAGAAGGAGGCAAAAACAGAUCUUCGUCGGAACCAAGAGGGCAACAAGGUGGAGCAUAUGUAUCACUGAGUGUUGCCAACAGCUGCUUGAAGACACUCACUUUAUCCCCCCAGUUAAGUCGACUCAACCCUAAGUUGGGCAGUCUUAGCUUGAAUUUGUUCUCAUACGAUCAAAAGAACAAGUGGUGAUUGCUGGCUCGAUUUGAGUUGCGUGGUCUCAACAAUCAAGUUAGUAUGGCUCGCUCGUAUACCUUUAGUUGUGUUGGAGAUACUAUAAAUUCGAUUUCUAUUGAGUCCUUUGACAAAUCUAGCCUCCAACCAUAAUUUUAUUAUUUAAUAAAUAAGGUAGUGUUAGAUUACUAUUUCAAAAUAGAAGUGGAAAAUGUAGUUAUGAUAAAGAGGACAUGCUUCCUUUUCUUUUUAUUUUGAAAGAAAAAUUUAUUUGAAAACCAUUAUUUAUUAUUUUCAUUUACUUUUAUUCUGAAACACCAAUUCACUCAAUCUAGAGUUAACUAACUAUUUGACUUGCCUUUCACCUGCACAUCAAAUAAUGUUUGUUUAGAAAAAAAAAUGAAUAUGCAGUUUUCCAACAUGUUUUUGGACAUAAAUAAAUUCUCAAUCAUAAACUAAAAAGCUUAUGUAUAUAUCUAAUUAAAUAAAUAGAUAAUUAUUUGUUCCAGUAAACAUAAAAAACUCUUAAUAAUAACUAAAGACUAAACUAAAAAAAUCAAGAGUAGAUACAAAUUAAUAUAUUUGAUCUUGCAACACAGAUUGUGUACUCAAUUUUGUUUGAUAAUUUUUUUCUUAGAAUACAUUCUUUAUUUAAUCAAAUGAUUAUUCGUGAUAAUAAAACAUUAAAAAAGUAGUUAAGAUAACUAAAGAUUAAACUGAAAAAUAAAGAGAUAAAAAUAAUCAAAUAUUUGAUUUCACAACACAUGUUAUGUAUAUAGUUGUGUUUAAUAAUUUUUUCCUAGAAUAAACUUUUAAUGUAAUCAAAUAAUAAUAGAAACAAACACACACGUAAACAAGAUUGAAUAUAAUAAAAAAAUAUUAUGUAAAGUUACAUAUAUUAAAAAACAAAAUGUUAUAAGUACUUUAUAUGAAACCAAGUGAAAAAUAAACAUAUUUAACCAAAGACUAAAUUUAAAAGUUGAGAUAAAGAUGUACAUGAGCCAUAGACUUGAUUGUAUUUAAUAAGUUAUUGUUUCUUCGAACCAAUGUUUUUAUUUAAUAAAAUGAUAAUAAAAAACACAUAGGAAAGGGAUUGAAUAAAAAUAAAAAAUAAGUAAGGCUACAAAGAAAGAAUGUUUCCUUAAAAAAAAAAACAAUGAAAUCUAUCUAUAAACUAAGAAAAAAUUAAAUCAUAUUCUAUAAGAAAAAUCAUAAAAAGUUAUUAAACAUUUAUUAAAAUAAAAAAAAGCCAAUAAAGGAUGAUACUACAAAAAAAAGACAAAAAAAUAGCAAAAAUGACCAGAUGCGUGAGCCUGACCAAGGUGGCCUAACAUGUCUAGGCUUAAAAAAACUCAGGCCUACAUGUUUGAGCUAACUUUUUUUUUUUUAUAUAUUAAGGGCUAGAAGACUUGACGUCAACCCUUAAUGUUUUUGAAAACAAAUUACAACUUGACGACGUGCCACUGCUUCUCCACAGAUUUCACCAUAAUGAUGACUAUAAAAUCAUGGUUGAUGUUUUUGACUUGAAAAUCUAUUUUCAACUUAUUUUUGAUCAAAAUAUCUAUAAAACACCAUACACAUUUUGAUAAACCCUGUAUCCAACCUCAAAUAAUGCAAAAACCCAAAAAAACCCGAAAUCAAUUUCUAAUUAAAAACUUCUUGAGCUCGAAUCUAUCAUUGCUAGAAAAAGAAGAGGUAAAAAACACCUAGGUGAAAAUCUCUUAAUUGAAAGGAACCUGUCGACACCAAGAUCUAUAUUUUUCAUGACUGGACAUGGUGUCAAUUGAGACUCUCUCUCUUCAUUAUUGAAAUUUGACAACAAUCUCUCUCUUUUCUUGAAUUAGGAACAAAAAAUAAAAAAAAUAAAAUUUUAAAUUAAAAUUGUAUUUUUUAAAAUGAAAGGAACCAAAUAUUUAUAAAGCACGAUAAAAAUGAACUUUUUGCAUUAUUUUUUAAAUUACAACCAAUUUUCUCUGUUUUUUUUCUAUAACUUUAAUCUUAUUCUUGCUAAACAAAUCUGAAGCUUUAAUUUGACCCUAAAAAAAUACAAUUGGCCAAAGAAAAGUUCGAAGGAAAAAAAAAAGCCACCGUGAAAAGAUCAUCAUGCAUAAUGUUUUUUCGCUGCAUUGUUUUUGCCGCAACAGAGUUUCUUGUAAUAGUCGAGAAUUCACUCAACCUUAAGCUAUAUUCCAGUCUUGCUAUCAAGAACCAUAACGUCCUAUCAAUUACCCUGACGAGGAUAUAAACAAAGGAGUCACCCAUCCACGAGCAAGACCCUUCACUAAACGAAGAAAAUCUUGAUCAAGUAAAGAGCCACAUCUUCACAUUGAUGUACCCUUUAUUAAACGAAGAAAAUGUUGAAGACUUGAACAAGUAAAAAGUCACAUCUUCAUAUUGAUGUGUCAAUAACUUCGUUUAUAAAUGAACGAAGUGUCAUCACAUGCUGCAGCUCAUGGUACCCCACAGUCUCUUUUGAGAGUGCUUUUUUUUUAAAUGGUGGCUUUUUUCAAGGAUUCUACCCAGGCAAGGCAGCCCAAGCAAGCAGAGAGACAUACAGCUUCAGAAGAGAGAGAGAGAGAGAGAGAGCACUACUUUUGCAAGAAGUUGCCUUCUAUAUUCAGGUACAUUUGUUUCUUCAAACAAUAUGCAUGAUCCAUGAAUGGUUUUCUGUGGCUAAAGGCUUUAUGGGAGUUGAGAUGCAUAGUUUCUCAUCUCCACGCUCAAAAUGUCAAAAAAGAAAAGGAAAAGAAAAUAAAAUUAAAAAAAGUAAAAACGGCGGAGAGAAUAAUUUCUGAGUAGAUUCGUUUUACAACUUUCUUAUUGCCAUGCAACAUACCAUGAAGCUAGGUUUUGGUUCUGCAGUCUGUUUUUGCCCAUUAUUCAGAUUUUUUACCACAUAAUGUGGAGUUGUUUGUUUUCCCAUUCCAAUCUUUUUAAAGUGUGGUGUGCAUUAGGGGCAGCAGCACGAUGUCUCAUAUUAUGAAACCUCAUAGUUGGAAAUUUCUUUUUUUGGUUACAGAAGUUGGAAUUUUUAACAGAUACUAUGGAGUUCUGUGUCUUAAUCUCCAAAUCUUUAGCCUUCUCUUUCCAACAACUUUUAUUUUUUGUAGUAAUUGGAUAAAACAGAAAUUAAGUGGGGGUGUUUUUAGCCUCCAUGUUUCUAUCUGUUUCUUCAAAAUAAAUCUAGAAAAGGAAUAAGCUAAACUAAUUAACACGCACCGCUAAUCAUUUCUAUGACCAUAUAAAUGCAUGCUCAAGUAAUUUGGGUGGGUUAAUUACUUUAAGAUUUUCAUUUAACUUUGGAACUAACAAACUUUGCUUGAAUUUAUGAAUCUUUUUUUUUUAAAAAAAAGUGUCAAUAAAGAAAAUCUUGCUUUGACAGGUUCUGUUCUUCAUUUUGGCUGUAUUUGACAAAGUAAAUUAAUUUUGAACAAGACCAACAAAGUGGAAGUGAUGAACAAGAUAUAAUGUAUAGGUGUCUGCCUGUGGCAUGCAUGGUUACAGAAACUGCAAGUCAUGGUGGUGUGUUGAGAGGAUCUCCCUUACAUUUGUUGCUUGUUCUGACAAUCUCCCCAAACAUGUGUCAUAAUGCGUGCACUAGUGUCCAUGACAUUUUAGUCAGAAACAACACCGACUGCUGUGUUUUUCAUUGAUUGUCUUCACCUACAUUUGCCUGCUGUGUUUUACUAAAUAUACAGGUAAAAUAAUAUUAUUGAGGUUGUUGAAACAUUAAUGAUGUUAAGAUUAGGUUAAUUAGAUCGAUAAAAACGAUGAAUUUUGGCAUGCACUCCUGGUUUUGAUGUAGACUAAUUUUGGAUAUUCCGAGUACAAAGAAAUUAUACUGUAUAAUAGUUAUUAGUUAGAGUCUGUUCUUGGAAUAUUUUUACUCAACGCUAAAGUCCUAUAUUUUAGCCUGGACCGCCAUGGAUCCUGUAAAGUCAUAUGCAUCAGUACGUUUUCUUCUAAGCCUGUGCUUUCUGGAAGCAGUUAUAGGCCAUCAAUGCAUGCUCAAAGUACUGAGAUAUAUUUACAGUGACCCUGGCUAAUCGAUAAUUCUACUAAAUUAUUUGUUCAUCUUUUCAUGAAUUUAAUUCAAGAAAGCUGAACAGAGCAAUGGCAGCCAAUGGAUUGUUUGCCUCCAGUGGCAAGCAUGGAGGAAAGGAAAGCCGCAUCAAGAGAAUGCCACAUGGGAAGCCUCCGUUCACUCUUGGCAAAAUCAAGAAGGCCAUCCCGCCCCAUUGCUUCGAACGAUCCCUUCUCCGCUCAUUCUCCUAUGUGGUUUAUGAUCUGUGCAUAAGCUUUCUCCUCUGCUACAUUGCCACCACAUACUUCGACCUCCUGCCAUCCCCGCUCUCCUGUGUCGCGUGGCCCACGUACUGGAUUCUCAAGGCAGCAUUCUCACCGGUGUUUGGGUUAUUUCUCAUGAAUGUGGUCACCAUGCCUUCAGUGACUACCGGUGGGUUGAUGACACAGUUGGCUUAAUCCUCCAUUCUGCACUUUUAGUCCCUUACUUUUCCUGGAAAUACAGCCACCGCCGCCAUCACUCAAACACAGGGUCCCUUGAGCGAGACGAAGUGUUCGUUCCAAAGCCUAAGUCUCGAAUCGCAUGGUAUUCCAAGUACCUAAACAACCCACCAGGUCGAGCUUUAAGUCUUGUUGUCACACUUCUGCUAGGCUGGCCCUUAUACCUAGCCUUCAACGUUUCAGGUCGACCCUAUGAUCGCUUUGCCUGUCACUAUGAUCCCUAUGGCCCCAUAUAUUCUGAUCGUGAAAGGCUUCAGAUUUACAUUUCUGAUCUUGGCAUUUUUGCGCAACUUUUGUGCUCUACAGCAUCGCUGUGUCUCGAGGGCUGCAUUUCUGAUAUGCAUUUAUGGGGUACCGUUACUUAUUGCUAAUGGUUUACUUGUCACCAUCACAUACUUGCAGCACACUCACCCUGCAUUGCCACAUUAUGAUUCCUCUGAAUGGGAGUGGCUUAGAGGAGCUUUGGCAACCAUGGAUAGAGACUAUGGGAUCCUGAACAAGGUCUUCCAUAACAUUACAGACACGCAUGUAGCUCACCAUCUCUUCUCUAACAUGCCACAUUAUCAUGCAAUGGAGGCUACGAAAGCAAUCAAGCCAAUACUGGGUGAGUUCUACCAGUUUGAUGACACUCCGAUUUACAAGGCCUUAUGGAGGGAGACAAAAGAAUGCCUGUAUGUUGAUCCAGACGACGGAGCUCCUGAAAAAGGCGUGUUCUGGUACCGGAACAAGUUUUGAUCCUGCUGCCUGCAAAAUCAUGCUAGCUAGAUGCAAGGGUAGGGUUCAAUAGUGUAGCGUGUUGCUAAUAAAUGGGGGAGAAGGUGUUGUUGAGCUAAAAAUGUAAUGGACUUGUAAUGAAACUCAUCAACUUAUGAAUUCUUAUGAAAAAAAAAAAAAAAUCAACUUAUGAAUACUUCUCUUCUUAGCUACUAUCAGCUUUUGUUUUUAGACUAGACAAGCGACGAUGACCAAAUUUUUGUGUGGUGUUUCCUCUGUCAAGUUUGUCUAUAAAACCUUGCAAGAAAUUAAAUAAACACAGACGAGCACAGAAAAAUAAGAGAGAGAUAAGAAACAAUAUUCAUGUAAAGGAUAAGAUAAACCCCUCGACGAAGGGAUAAAUCUCCCUCAAAAUUAUUCAUUAAUUUCCUUCAUCAUACUCUUCAACAUCAGUACAAAUCCUCGAGGAACCAGCACCUGUUAUAAUGACUCAUCUGAGCCAUCUUUUGAACCUGGAGAUAAGCCUCAAAUCCGAGGCAAAACUUGACUAAAAAAAGCGGCAUUCCGCAUUAAUUAAUGCUCCAAUUUUCCUGUUUCCAUUUAUGCUUAUGGUUAUGACACAUUUUAAACCCCUUUUAUUUUAAUGAAUUCCUAAAAUUCUCAAAACUCAAUAAUAUUUGGCAUUCAUAUGAUUUUUCUGAAACUAUAAGGUGGCAGAGUCGAAGGAAACUGGAGGACCUGCACAAUCGCCCCUGAAAAAAAUAUUUUUCUUGAGAGUACAUGAAGUAUGUGUAAUGACUGCAUCUCUAUCUUCAUAAAAUUUGUCUCCGAUCGAAAUAUGUGUUGAAAAAAGUAUCUUGAUAUUUACAAUCUUGCAAAUAAGUUUUAUCCCAAGAAUUCUAUAUCAAGAUAAUUUCUUUUGAGAUCUUGAUAAAAUUAUUUUGGAUUUGUUAUUGUUUUUUAGAAUAUUAUGAAUUGAGAAAAGUAUCAAUGCUAGAAUAAUUAGCAAACUAUCUGUACUCUUGUUGAAAAAAUAAAUUGCUUAUAAAAAUUUAAUUCUGAUUCCUUAAGCUAAAUUUCUGAAUCGGUCACCAUACCCUCCCUUUCGGAACCAUAUUGUCGUAGUUGUGUGGUGAGAGGGCAAGCCUUGCAUUUGUUGUUAGCCUUGACAAUUUGCCAAAUGUGUCAUCAAGCAUGCAUUAGUGUCCAUAACAUUUCACUGAAAAACAAAUCAAACUAACCAGACCAGUAAAAUCUAACCCUUAAUUUCUUUAUUAAUAAAAAAUAUUUUUUGAAAAAGCCAAUAGGUUGAAGCAUGGUUUUGAUCACCAUGUUAGCUUCGAGUCAAGGUGUUAACUUGAGUAUUUUAUUAGAUUAAUCAAUAUUUUUUAUUUUAUUUUUUAAACUUGAUUUGAGUCUCCUAUAUCCUGUUUAAAUUUUACAAUAUGAUUAUACGCUCUGUAUUUCAUUAAUUACCUUUUAACUUCACCUACAUUUCUUAAUUAACCGACGUUGCAAUUUAUGGAGGUAGAAGAUUAUUAUUUAGGUGGUUGAAAUAUUAAUGAUCAUGUCUAUAUUUCUUUUUCUGAUGUUUAGGUUAGGUUAACCAGAUCGAUCGAAACUUUGGCAUGUACUAUUGGUUUUGAUGUCCGACUAAUUUUAGGUAUGCUGUGGACAUCGCAUUUAUAUCAUUAUUUAAUAGCUAAUAAUUACAGUGUAUUCUUGGAACAAUUUUACUCAAGUUUCAACAAAUUUUGUUAAACCCAUACACGCGAUAUGACAAUGAAAUGUAAAGAAAUGAAAUCUAGUACGUGAUUUAGGAAUUUAAAAUUAAAAGAUUUAAUUUUAGGUUUGAGUUUUGUGGUUGUUAAUAUAAUAACCAUUAGAAAUUUACAUGAUCGUUAGCUUCAAGACUGGUAAAAUUAGUUGAAGUACAAACAAGCUAAUUCGAACAUUUAUAUUAAUAAAAAAAAUAUUUAAAACUGCAUUAUAAAAAUCAUAGAUAUCACACUCUUAUCCAGAAAAAAACAUUUGGAUUGUUAAAUUAUUUUUACUUGUUGGUUGGUAAACUGAGAUAUUUUUUUUUAUCAAAAAUAUUUUUUUUAAAAUUUUUUAGUGUUAAGUCUAUAGGGUUUGUUCAAAUUAAUUGAAUUAUAGAUUAACCCAAUUUAUUUUAAAUUUUAAAUUGUAGAUUCCCGAAUCAACCAUUUUGACUAUGCUAGAUUUAUUAACUAUCAUAAAUACUAUCCACUCGAUGCAUAUUUUUAUUAAAAAUUAAUUGUGAAAGUUUUACAUUAAAAUAGUCUGAAAAAUUAAAAAAUUAAUUAAAAAUAAAAUAAAAUAUUUUUAAAAAUAAAAAAAAUAAUUAAUUUCUUCCCGCAUACUUCAGCCAUUUUCACGGUCCUACAACAUUUAUUUUUUCCUUUUCUUCUAAGCCUAUGCUUUCUCAGGCAGGUACGUAAUUGCCAUUGAUACACAUACAUGCUGUGAAAUCAGAUUAUAAGAAUAUGAUAUCUGCUAAAUCAUGAUAUUCAAGGAAAGCUGAGGACGACAAUGGGAGGCAAUGGAGUGCAUGAUCAAGGAAAGGAAAGCAGCUUCAAGAGAAUGCCAAACACGGAGCCUCCAUUUACACUUGGAAAAAUCAAGAAGGCCAUCCCUCCCCAUUGCUUCCAACGAUCCCUUCUCCGCUCAUUGUCCUAUGUUGUUUAUGACCUCUCCUUCAGCUUUCUCUUCUGCUACAUUGCCAUCACAUAUUUCCACCUCCUACCAUCCCCUCUUGCCUCCAUCACAUGGCCCAUCUACUGGCUUCUCCAAGGCUGCAUUCUCACCGGUGUUUGGGUCAUUGCUCAUGAAUGUGGCCACCACGCCUUCAGUGACUACCGGUGGGUUGAUGACACGGUUGGCCUAAUCCUCCACUCUGCACUUUUCAUCCCAUACUUUUCCUGGAAAUACAGCCACCGCCGCCACCAUUCGAACACAGGGUCCCUCGAGCGCGACGAAGUGUUUGUCCCGAAGACCAAGUCCCGUGUCGCAUGGUAUUCCAAGCACCUAAACAACCCACCAGGUCGAGCUUUAAGUCUGGCUGUAUCACUUCUGAUUGGCUGGCCCUUAUAUCUAACCUUCAACGUUUCCGGUCGACCCUAUGAUCGCUAUAGCCCCAUAUAUUCUGAUCGUGAAAGCCUCCAGGUUUACAUUUCUGAUCUAGGCAUUCUUGCUGCAACUUUUGUGCUCUACAGCAUCGCUGUGUCUCGAGGGCUGGCAUUUCUGAUAUGCAUUUAUGGGGUACCGUUACUUAUUGCUAAUGGUUUCCUUGUCACCAUCACAUACUUGCAGCACACUCACCCUGCAUUGCCACAUUAUGAUUCCUCUGAAUGGUGGUGGCUUAGAGGAGCUUUGGCAACCAUGGAUAGAGACUAUGGGAUCCUGAACAAGGUCUUCCAUAACAUUACAGACACGCAUGUAGCUCACCAUCUCUUCUCUAACAUGCCACAUUAUCAUGCAAUGGAGGCUACGAAAGCAAUCAAGCCAAUACUGGGUGAGUUCUACCAGUUUGAUGACACUCCGAUUUACAAGGCCUUAUGGAGGGAGGCAAAAGAAUGCCUGUAUGUUGAGCCAGACGACGGAGCUCCCCAAAAAGGCGUGUUCUGGUACCGGAACAAGUUUUGAUCCUGCUGCCUGCAAAAUCUAGCUAGCUAGAUCACCCCCGAGCAAGGGAUCAGUCAAACUAGUAUAAUUGUGUUGCUAAUAAAUGGGGCUGAAGGAGUUGUUGAGCCAAUAAUGGGAUAGGCGUGUGAUGAAAUUCAGCUUCUGAGUGCUUCUCUUAGUGUUUGUUUGUCAAUGCGGGCGUGGUUCAUCCGCAUUUCUAAAUUAAAAACUUGAAAAGAUGAUAUUUGGAGUUUGGAAAAUAUGUUCUUACUUUUCAAUUAGCUUUUGUUUUUAGACCAACGAAGCAAGAUUUCUAAUCAUCUAUGAUUAUAAUGAAACCUACGAACAUAAUUUAGUCAGGAAAAUACAGAAGAAAUACUGAAAACCACAAACAAUAGUAGCAAACAAAUUUAAGAAAGAAAUGUUGAUCCCGCUCAUAUCUUUCAACUAAUAACAAAUAAAAUCAUGAUUUGAUUUUCAAGCAUUCUACUAGUUAGAAUACAAUUAGAUUUUCGUCAAGCCUAUUGCUUCUUUAUUUAAUAGCUAAUUACCAACCAAUUAUAUUAUUUACAAUCCAUCAAUCAAAAAAAGAUAUGGCAUUUGGUGGCCUUAUAUUGAGAUUGAGUUUAUCUCUCCAUUUUUUUUAAUAAGCUAUCCAUCAACAUUAAAUUAAAAUUCAUAAGAAAAUGAAUGUUUUUUCUAUAUACAAAAAUAGAUAUUUUCUAUUCUUUAUUAUAAUGCUUUUUUUAGUUUUUAUUUUCCUAUUCAUAAGAAAAUGAAUGCCUUUUCAUAUAAAAUAUAGAUAUUUUCUAUUCUUUAUUAUAAUGCUUUUUUUUAGUUUUUUCCUAUUUAAAACAAAUAUUUUUUCUAGUUUAGUUUUUCUAUUUAGUAUUAUUAGAAUUUUUUAAUUUUUUUUAUAUAAAGUGUUGUAAUAUAACUUUCUUGGCAAGUGAAGACAAAGAAGAAUAAAAAUUAAAUAUUUUGAUUGUCUCCUUAUAGUUAUGGUGUUUUUGAUGUUUAAAACUUUUGACAUGUAAUAAACCCUUUAAUCCUUCGCUCUUGUAUGCAUUAAUUGAUAUUAAAGCCCAACUAUUAAUGGUUAUUUUGCUUUGCUAUGUUACAGAACAACCAUGAUUAUAGAACAUGAUAUGCUUGUGUAGAAGGUGAUGGUGGGGUUCCUUUCAGAAAGAAAGAAAAAAAAUUCAAGAACUAGUGUGUUGUUUUCAUCUAUGUCAUUUAAUAUUGUUUAAAAUUCUAGUGGUGGGACCCAUAAUGGAGCGGCUCACUCAGAGAUGCUGUGUUAGGAACCCAUGAUGAGAUGACCUCCAUAAAAAUAUGUUCUUGAUGAAUGGUAAUUUUUUAAAUGUAUACUAAACUCGAUGACAAUAUCCUUGAUCCAGAUCUGUGAGACUAAUGUAAGAACUUUUUUAUGAAAAUAUAUAUUUUUAUUAUUUUUUUAUUAUGAUGCUUUUAUAUCACUAUUCAUACGGUACUGUUCACACAGCAUAAAAAAAAAAAUCAAAAAUAUUUGUUUCAGCAUUUUAUAAUUUUUCCGCGUAGUUUUUUUUUUAUGCCAUUUUGAUUAAUAUCGGGCAGUAUGUUUACAUCGUAAAAAUAUAAAUCCGGUAUUAAAAUACCCGUUUUUCGGCAAAAACUUCCAAAAAUAAAUAAAAAAAAAUUGAAAAAAAAGAUAAAAAAUGUUUUUGUGCAUACGGCCAAGUGUCUCAAAUCUAAAAAAUCAUAUCGUAUUUUGCAUGUCAAAAAAAAUAAUAUUUUAGCAUGCAUUUUGGCUUUAAUAACCAGUUUAUUAAAGUCAAGAGAACAUUGGCCAAAAUCUCAAAAACAACAAAAUAUUUUAUUUUGUUUGAUUUUAGUAUCAGAGAUUAUGAAUUUAUACGUAAAUCGUAUUCCUGAUAUUAAAAAGAUAUUUUCUUUUGACGACUUCGAAUAGUUAGUUUUUACCCGAUAAAGAUAAGGAUCUCCUUACAGAGGAGGACUUUUCUUAAACCGUAAACGAACCAACAAUUCAAAAACCACAACACGAUUUUAGAUUUUAUCAGACAUUAAAACAAUGCAGCCUACCUUAGGUAGGGCGUAGUUGGGGUGCUAAUACCUUCCCUUUACGCAACCAGUCUCCGUACCCGAUCUCUAAAGACCAGUUAAGGUUCCUAGUAACCAGAAUACUAGGUGGCGACUCCCAGUCCAUAUUUUCACAUAUAGAGACAAGAAUUCCUUGUCUCUCCCAUUUUCCAGGAAUAAAUAUUCCGAUUUUUCCUUGAGGGUGGACGAUCGCCGCGCCGCCGCACACGUGCGACAGAAUGGCGACUCCACUGGGGACCUUGUGGACUAAGCAUUGUUUUGUCUAUUUAUUUUUUUUUGUUGUAUUGUGUUUUAUUUUUAAAUAUGCAUUUCCAUUUCUUACGCGCUUUAAUUUGUACAUAUUUGUUCAUGCAUUAUAGAUUGUGUCAUGCAUCAUUCAUAUGAGAGUUUGUACUGAAAAACUUUAAGUUAAGUGGGAGACUAGCAGCUUACCUUACGACUUUUAGUCAAGGUUUAAGUUUGUGUAAACCCCAACUCUUCGCUGAGUGCUUAGACUGGUAACAGUUGGUACACGUGCCAUCUCAUUGCCUACAAGCCCCCAUAUUGCCUCCACGAGGGCGAAAUCACUGGGACAACAAGAGACCCUUUUUUAGAGACUGAAUAGCCAACCUACCCAUGUUCACAUAAUAAAACUUGUCCUUAGUUUGUAUGUGCUAUCGUUAUUUGCAUCCGAGCAAACCCUUCUUGAAGCAUCUUGAACUCCAGACUUUUGGGUGACACAUUGACCGUCGCUCAGAAAAUUUUCAUUGUAGAGUUUGUGCAAGAAUCAAGAUUCUUGUUUUCAUCAUACAAGAGUUGCGACCAUAUGUCACCCCUCGAAGGGCGAGUUCAUCAUAUAUAGUACAUGUUCAUACAUUUAACAUGCAUACAUGGCAGAUUGAAAUAUAGGUCCCUAAAAAGUCUACAACACCCGACUUCGAGCAAGAAACAUGGAAGAUGAAGAGCGUGCUCAACGUGAGGCCUAUUUGAACGAAAGAGUUGGAGUCUCUGAAAAUAAGUGUGGCUCACCUCACUAGCUUACUCAAGCAAACAUUAAGAAAUACCUCUGAUGAAGGUCCUUCUAAUCAACCGAUCACCUUUAAUCCGGCUCCUACUACAGUUCAGCCUGAGGAAAGAAUGAGCGAACAUGGUCAAGAACCUCAGCAAAAUCCAACAUUUGUGCAGUCAACGACACCUGCACCAUCCCCAACAGUCGUGAAGGCAUCUGCUAAUGAGUCCCACAAGGCUAAGUCAUCUGAUAGCAUUGAUCAAGCUAAGAUAGAGGCGCUGGAAGCCAGACUUAAAGCCAUUGAAGGGAUAGACUUAUAUGACCCGGUCCGGGCAGCAGAGAUGUGUUUGGUCCCAAAUGUGGUUGUCCCAAAGAAAUUUCGUGUUCCUGAAUUCAUCAAAUACAGUGGAACACAAUGCCCCAUGACUCAUCUCAGGUCUACUGCAAUAAAAUGGCUGAGGUAGUACAUGAUGAAAAACUACUAAUGCACUUUUUCCAAGACAGUUUAAGUGGGGCAACUUUGAGUUGGUACAUGAGAUUGGAUAACACAAAAAUUCGCAACUGGAAAAAUCUUGUGGAUGCUUUCGUCAAGCAAUACAAUACAACAUGGACAUUGCGCCCGACAGAACCAGUUUGUCCAAUAUAGAGAAAAAGGAUAAAGAAAGCAUAAGGGAAUAUGCUCAAAGAUGGCGAGAAUUAGCUGCUCAAGUACAUCCCCCACUUCUGGACAAAGAGAUGGUCUCUUUAUUUGCCAACACACUCAAAGCACCAUAUUACGAACAUAUGAUGGGUAGUUCAGCCCAACAAUUCACUGAUGCUGUGAUAGUGUGUGAACGCAUAGAGCAAGGUGUCAAGAGUGGUAGAAUUGCUGCACCAACCGAGAAAAGAGGCGUCGAAAGAAAAGAGGUUCACCAUGUUGAAGAUGGCUACAGGGUAAAACAAAUACAUCCCAAAAUUACCAUACUCCAUCCCAAAUUGCCAACAUCAAAAAACCUGAACCCCAAAACUUUCAAGCCAAAAGCCAAAUUGGAAAUUUCCAAAGGGUUCAAGAACAACUACCUCCACUACCGUUACCCCUGAAUGAGAUGUAUCAAAAGCUAUUAAGCAUCGGGCAAAUAGCUCCAGAACCUCUAACACCUCUGCAGCCACCUUAUCCUAAUUGGUACAAGCCAGAACUCAAUUGUGAAUACCAUGCCGGUAUUACUGGGCAUAGCAUCUAUACCUGCAACGCCUUCAAGAGAAAGCUUCUGCAAUUAAUCAAGGCUGGGUGGAUAGAAUUGGAAGAUGCCCCCAAUGUGAAUACGAACCCGUUGCCUAAUCAUGCUUGAAGCAUAUUAGGAUGGAAUGUUUGGGGAAUUGGAAAGCAUCAAUGGUCCAGCAUGAUAGCUUGAAUUUUGUAGAACUCAAAUUUGACCGUGGUGUUGUUCCGCAUUGUCUUUGAGUCCUCUACGCAGAGCUUUUGAGAGGAGGUUAGCCUAUGAACAGAUUCGCCAAAAUAGAGGAAUGAAGCCUACCUUGUUAUUGCCUUUUGUUAAUGCUUUUGAAUAAGACUUUCUCUGUUAAUGUGCUUCUCUUGUGAAAUAAGAUCAUGUGUUUUCUUGUGUUCACAUCACACUCUUCUUUGUUGUUAUUACAUGUAAAUAACAUUUUGAGCGCAACUUUGCUCACAACACUACAACAUGAAGAAUCCUUUGGUGUUCCUUUCUUCCAAACCCAUACAUUAAUCUCAUAUGUUUUCAAGGAUAUUUUUUGGGACCUCCAAAGUGAGUACAAAAACAAAAAUCGUGUUGAUAUUUGUCCAAAACAAAUGCAUUUUGAAAAUUCAAGUGAUUCCUUAAAUAGGUACACAUAUACCUAGAAAACUUGAAAGAAAAAAAGACAACAAAGACAAACAACACUAUGAGGUGACUCAAAAGCUGAGUUUUAUUUGACUGAAUAAAUCACUUUGCAUACGCGCAUGAAAGCAAGACCUAUCGAUCCUCAUGCAUGAGUUUGAGAUGAGGAAAGGCCAUCUUUGAUAAUCCUUUCACAAGGCUAAAAAUAUAUCCGUUGCAGUCCCAUUUUGAGCCUAGUUUUUUGGAAAUAACCUUGACUAGGAUCACACCCCACACUGGGGGGCAAAAUAGAGUUUGUUGUUUUUACCAUCCAGACAAAGCAGUGAAGAUGGGUGCUGGAAUUGAUCAUGUAAUUUUUAAUCUUUCAUUAUCAUCAAAUGAACAGUUGAAGAAAAAAGGAUGGAUCUAAAAGAUUUGAGCUUCUCAUACAAACAACUGAUAUGAUUGUGCUCAACCAAACAAAAACAAAGAAAACAAAGAGAAAAGCCCAAACCCGACACUGGGGGCAGGACAAAUCAUUUUGAAAAAAAACAAUCCAAAAGACAAAAGGUCAGGAAACAAGCACAAGUGAUCCCUAGUCUUGAAAUCCCUUAAACACCUUUUGAUGCCUGCAACAUAUCCAUUUUCUUCGUAACCAAUAGCCAAAGCCUACAUUACAUACCUGAUAAAGCCCUUUCUGAUCAAAGGCAAGCAAUCUGGAUCGGUAUGCAGUGCUUUCUCGUGCGAGUCAAAUCAUUAUUCAUGCAAAUAAAAUAAAUGCUUUGAAUCAAUUCGGUUCUCAAUAACCCUCAAAUUGACAUUUAAACCUUUUGUGACCAACCAGAUGUCACUUCAUCUUUAAACAAAAGCAAAAAGCUUUCAUCACUUCAAGAAACCUGUCCAUAGGAAUCACUUGAAUUUUUAGAACAAGUUUAUUUUGAACCAAUAUCAAAAUCAUUUUUGUGAUUGGAAUAACUUGGAAGUUCCAAAAAUUUUGCAUGAAAACAUUUCAUUGUACAAAAAACCCAAACUUACUUUCACACAUCCUUACCCCAAACUAAACCCAAGUUGAACACUUGGGGGGCAUGAUCAAGCUGGGGGGCAAUCAAAAACACAUGGUAGGGCUGACUCCAUGAUUCCUGUUCUAAGGAAAAUGUCGGGUAAAAUUGGUAACUCUUGAGAUAAAGGGUGAAGGACAAAGAUGUAUGAUGACAUCAAACCCCUCUUAGAGGUCAAGAUCACAAGAUGUAACCCGAUAAGCAAAAGUGGAAAAGCCAUCGAAGUUUACUACCAACACUACAACUUUUGAGAGAAAAGAAAGACACCAUGAAGAAAUGGGGGCCUAUAUUUCUCAGGUAAGUAUACAUGCAUAUCAAUCAUAAUGCAUUUGCUUUUCAACAUUGACAAUCAUUGUUUCAACACCAUUCCUUCGGUAGUGCGUUUUCUAACCCUACCUCCGUUUGAGUGCGCCUUUGAGCCCUCGCCUUCAUUUUGAGUGCGCCUUUGAGCCCUCAUCCCUUUGGUAGUGCGUUUUCUAACCCUACCUCCGUUUGAGUGCGCCUUUGAGCCCUCACCUCCAUUUUGAGUGCGCCUUUGAGCCCUCAUCCCUUGGUAGUGCGUUUUCUAACCCUACCUCCUUUUGAGUGCGCCUUUGAGCCCUCACCUCCAUUUUGAGUGCGCCUUUGAGCCCUCAUCCCUUGGUAGUGCGUUUUCUAACCCUACCUCCCUUUGAGUGUGCCUUUGAGCCCUCACCUCCAUUUUGAGUGCGCCUUUGAGCCCUCAACUCUUUGGUAGUGCGUUUUUCUAACCCUACAUCUUUUCGAGUGUGCGUUUAAGCCCUCGCCAUCCAUUUCUCCAUGUUUCUUUAUCUGGGUAGGUCACCCAUUACAAUGAGACCACACUUCAUAUUCUUUCCUUUUUCUUUGGGUAGGUCACCCAUCAUAAUGAGAACGUUUUUUUCAUUCUUUCCACCUGGGUAGGUCACCCAUUAUAAUAAGACCGUUUUUUUUUCACAUUUCUUUUGUUUUGGUUAAAUGAGGUUGCCAGAUGGGAUCUCAUGUAGCUUUGGUUAAAGGGAAUCUCCAUAUGAGAUUUCAGGUUGACCGAGCUAAACACACAGGAUUUUGGUUCUGGUUAGAGGGGAUUGCCGAAAGGAAUCUCAGUCUAUCCCAACCACACAGGUUUUUUGGUUCUCGUUAGAGGGGAUUAGCGAAAAGAAUCUCAGUCUAUCCUAACCACACACACAUAAUAUUUUAGGUUCUGGUUAAAGGGGAUUGGUGAAAGGAAUCUCAGUUUAGCCCAACCACACACAGGACUUUGGGUCCAAUUGAAGUUUUAGGUCAAUCAAAUUUUAAGACGAACUGUUUCGGAAAACCAACUUUGUUUUAUCUUUACAACACUUACUAUGCACAAAUCUUUGCUCCGUAAGCAUUGUAAAGAGGGGGGCAACUGUUGUAACCCAUUUUUGGGUCCCCACAUAUAAAAUAAUAAAAUACAAAAAAAUUCAAAAAAAAUAUAUUACAAAAAAAAUAUAACAGUGAAAAAUGCCGGAGCGCCCUAAAAAUGCUAAAAAAAAAUUUGUUUGAGGAUGUUCAAAAAUAUAAAAAUUAUUUUUUGACAGUAUAUCAUUAACUGAUGAGAGCCCCGAUGAUAAAGAAAAUUCAAUUUGUGGAAGAAAAAUGCAAAAUCAGAAGUUUAUGGACUCAAUUAAAUUUUAUUAAAGGUUUAAUUGCAUUUAUGAAGAUUUUAAUUGCAAGAAAAAAUGAUUUUGGAGUUAAUUUGGGCUUUAAUUAGGAGAAAUUAAUUUUCUAGGGUCAAAUUAUAAUUUUUGGAAGUUAAUUUGGUCAAAUCAGGGGCUUAAUUGCAUAAAUAUUGAGGUUUAAUGGCCAAUUAGGGACUGAAUUGAAGAAAUCCGAGACCAAGGACUAAAUUGUAAAACGCGCGCAAAUGGAGGGCCGAAAUUUGAAUCUGAUUCUUUUGGCGCCUUUUUCCUUUUAAAUGAAACGGCGCGUUUUGACCAAAACAGCGCCGUUUCAUUCACUGUUGAAAAAAAAAAAAAAAAAAAAAAAACAGAAGCCCAAAACGGUGCCGUUUUGACGGCACUGUAGCUCUUCUUCCUCCCCUGGACACACGAGGCAGGGGAAGAAGAAGAUUUUUUUCUUCCCCUUUUCGCCUAAUUACUUUCCCUCUUUUGCUCAAAAAGACGCCGAAACAAGGACACCACUUGCCGACCACUUUCCACGCGUUGGACGGGCGGCAGCACACCGGCCACCACCAUGACGUCCCCCCCCCCUUGUUUUUCGCCUAUAAAAACAGGGGAGGAAGAGGAGAAAAAGGAAGACAAUAGAGGGGAGAAGGAAGAGAGAAGGAAGAGAGAAAAGAAGAGAGAAGAGAAGAAAAGAAAAGAAAAGAAAAAAAAACAGAAACAGAAGAAAAGAAAAAAAAAUAGAGGAAGAAGGAGAAGAAAACCCGCCGGCCACUGCGCCUCCGCCACAGUCGCCGCCAGCAGCACCGCCACGACGCCACCACAGGUAAACAACCUCUGCCCCGUCUCCUUCGCCCUUUGCAACUGCCUUCUUUAUUUUCAUGCAGAACGUGAAUUAAUUCACGUUCUGCAACUGAUGAGAGGCUGGUUACUGUGCUUAUGCACAGUAACCAGCCCAUUUAGUUUUGGGCCGGUUCGGCCCAGCCCACUGAAAUGGGUCGGGUCCGGCCCAUUUCAAUUUUUUUAUUUUUAUUUUUAUUUUUUACAAUUUUUCCAACACAUGUUUUUAUCAAUUUUGCUUAAUAUCGGUCUGUAUUUUUACAUCGUAAAAAAAUAAAUUCGGUAUUAAAAUACCUGGUACUGUUCAUACGGUACUGUUCACACAGCAUAAAAAAAAAAAUCAAAAAUAUUUGUUUCAGCAUUUUAUAAUUUUUCCGCGUAGUUUUUUUUUUAUGCCAUUUUGAUUAAUAUCGGGCAGUAUGUUUACAUCGUAAAAAUAUAAAUCCGGUAUUAAAAUACCCGUUUUUCGGCAAAAACUUCCAAAAAUAAAUAAAAAAAAAUUGAAAAAAAAGAUAAAAAAUGUUUUUGUGCAUACGGCCAAGUGUCUCAAAUCUAAAAAAUCAUAUCGUAUUUUGCAUGUCAAAAAAAAAUAAUAUUUUAGCAUGCAUUUUGGCUUUAAUAACCAGUUUAUUAAAGUCAAGAGAACAUUGGCCAAAAUCUCAAAAACAACAAAAUAUUUUAUUUUGUUUGAUUUUAGUAUCAGAGAUUAUGAAUUUAUACGUAAAUCGUAUUCCUGAUAUUAAAAAGAUAUUUUCUUUUGACGACUUCGAAUAGUUAGUUUUUUACCCGAUAAAGAUAAGGAUCUCCUUACAGAGGAGGACUUUUCUUAAACCGUAAACGAACCAACAAUUCAAAAACCACAACACGAUUUUAGAUUUUAUCAGACAUUAAAACAAUGCAGCCUACCUUAGGUAGGGCGUAGUUGGGGUGCUAAUACCUUCCCUUUACGCAACCAGUCUCCGUACCCGAUCUCUAAAGACCAGUUAAGGUUCCUAGUAACCAGAAAACUAGGUGGCGACUCCCAGUCCAUAUUUUCACAUAUAGAGACAAGAAUUCCUUGUCUCUCCCUUAUUUUCCAGGAAUAAAUUAUUCUGAUUUUUCCUUGAGGGUGGACGAUCGCCGCGCCUCCGCACACGUGCGACAGUGAGGUGAAAAUUAUUCUGUUUUGUUUUGUUUUUUAAAUUGGUAUGAAAUGUUUCGGUCAUUCUGGACAAAACAGAACGGAACCGAUAACCUUGAACUAUAUAAAUACCAAUUAUGUAACUGAAGACAAGAAGUACAGCAUGCUUAUGAAAAGAAAAAAAAAAUAGAAGUAAAAGCCGAAAAUAUAUAAAGGAUGACAAAUGUUUUGGUGAUAUUUCCUCUGUCAAGUUGAUUUGUCCUUGGAAAACCUUGCUUUAAAUAGAACCAAGAAAUUAAAUAAACACAGACAACCGCGCAACAUAGAGAUAAGAAAAAAUCAUGUACGGGAUAAGAUAAAAUUUAUCUAGUUUUUAAAGGUCAUUUGCUAGAAAAUCCCUUCAAUUAAAGGUAUAAAUUAAUCUCCCUAAAAAUAUCCUUCUUCGUUGAUGACUACGCAACAGCCUCAUUAUUCUUAUUAGAACAUUCAUCAAAACUUAUCUGAGCCAUCUUGAGAGCCUGGUGGCGAGUCUCCGAAUCCUGAAGCAGUACCCGACUCGAAAAACUGGCCGCGCCGCGAAGCUUCAAUCUUCCUCUUCUUAGCGUGAUAGCUCAUAUGCCCACCCAAAGCAUUUCCAUUUAUAAAAGAUGCUUUGCAGAUAAAGCAUCUAUGCUUAUGAGCGCGACUUGUUUGGGCUAUUGAUAGAGACCUUGGAGUUCUCCUGAGAGGACUUUUAAAAUGGCUUGACAGGGUUGUGCUACCUAAUAAUUCUUGUUUUGGUUGCAAAUGAUGGGCAUCAGGGAGUUGGAUUUCUUGAGCUUUUGACGACAGGGAGGUAUUCAUCAAGCGUAGAGACAGUGAAAGAUAUUUAGGCAUAUUUAGAUUGGUUUGGUUAAGGCUGUCCAAAUUUGCCACAAGGAUUGGUCGGUCAAUCCUAUUAUUAAGGAUGAUAGGGUUUUGUUGGUAAUUGUUCACGAUCAUCUUAGAGCCAACAUUCAAUCCAACCAAAUGAUUCCCGAGGCUUUGAGCAUUUCUAUCAGUUGUGAAUGCCACAUCACCAUCGCUAUAGCAUGUUGAUGCAUAUUUCAGGAUUCCUGAAAAUUGUGUUUCUUGAUAUUUGACAUAAAUUGUUUGACAAGGAUAGAAGAAAGGUGGGUUCAAAGAAGUAACUCUAGGGGUUGGAAUGAGACGAGGAAGAGAUUGUUGGUUUCUCAAGGCGAUGAAUUGAUGGCUAGUAAUUGGAAGAGAUUGAGGGUUCACCAUAGAAGGAUGAUGAACACCGAUCAAGCCAGAAGAAUGGGGUUGCAGCUCGUCUGUGGCAGUAGGCUUUGUAGCCACUACUACUCUAGGAAAAGGAGCACACUCAAUUUCUGUGUUGGAUACAACCUCUAUUUCGGCCAAUGGUGGAUUUGUAUGGAUGAGAAGAUUUUGAAAUGAUAAAUUUGACGAAGAAAAACUGGCGGUGGACAUGUUUGAAAGAUUUGGGAGCUCAAAUUCUUUGCCCAUGGGGAUAGCUACAUCGAACCAAUCUUCAAUGUAUUGUUGUGGAUCAUGCUCAACUUGCUUGGCCAUAGAACUAGAUGAUUUUCCUGAUGGGAUUUUGGUGAGAGAGGAUAGGCUAAUGUGUGAUCAUAUAUAGAUUCACCUAAUCAAUACACAGUUAAAUACACACUCUCACACCAUUACUUGGCCACGAAUUCAUUAAAAGAUGCAAGAACAAUAUCAAUGGAAAGUAAGGUGUUGAACAAUAUCAAUAUCAAUGAUAUAUCUUCCUGGCAUGAGAAAAAAUUUCCAUGCGUGGAAAUGGGAUUGGUUGUACUUGGUCGUAUAUAUAGUAUGGAAUUCAAUUUCUUACUUUCUUUAACUCUCUUUUUUUGGUGUAUUUCUUUUUAUGCAUUUUAUUUUUCACUAAUUUGUAAUAUAAGGAAAAAAAAUAAAAAAAAUAAUUAAAAUUAACUAUACAGUUAAUCUACUUUUUUCUAGUGUGUGUGUGGGCGUGUAUAAAAUUAAAGUCCUUUAUACACACACACACACACACUAGGUCAUACAAAAUAAUAUUUAAUAUGAAAUAAUAAUAUUUACUAUAAUUUAACAAAAUAAUAUUUUUUUUUAUUUUUCUAAAGUUAAAAUGAAAAAUGCUAAUGCAUAAUCAUAUUUGGAAGGGUUGGACUUGUUGAGCUGGGCUUGUAAUAUUUAUUUAGACCUGUUACCAGGCAGUUUAAUUUGUACCCUAUAUUGGGUUAAUAGGCCUUGAGAUUUAUGGUUAGGCCUAUUUUGAAAAAAAUAUGCGAAAGCAUAUAUUUCUAUAUUUGAUAGGAAAAUGAAAAAAAAAACUUUUAAACACAUAAAAAUCCUGUUUACUAAUUACUUUAACAUUUGAAAUUCAUGUUUUUGGAACUAGAAAAUUACUCUUUAAAUUCUUCAUUUAAAAAAACUACCCUCUAAAUUCUAAAAAAAAAAUCUUGUUUAGUUUUUUUUAGAAAAAUAAAAGUGUUAUUUCAUUGUUCACUAGAAUAAUAAAAUAUGUGUUGGAUCACAUUAUUUUAACAAUACCUUUUAGGUUGAUCAGUGCUUUAUCUAUGAAUUGAGAAUAAUAAAAAGCUUAACCUAUUAGUUAGCCACCAUUUUCUUUUUAUAUGUGUAGGGCAAUAUAUAAUAGUUCAUAUAGAGUUUACAAUACAUGAUUAAUAAAUCUUUUCUAAAUAUGUACAAGCCUUUACUAUUUAGUAUAUUAUAAUAGGCCUCCUUAAACUGAGGGUAGGGAUUCUAUUCGAAGUUUGAACCGAAAAACAGUAAAAGAAGAAGUGGAGAUAAGUUUUAUAAGAACAUUUAUAAUUUGAUCAACUGAAAGAAUCAAGCAAAUCUAAAUGGCUUUUGUAGCAACUCUAUCACGGAUAAAAUAAUAACCAACUUCAAUAUGCUUAUUAUGAAUAUAAAAGAUAGGUUUUGCAGACAAAAAAGUAGCAUUUAGAUUAUCACACUAAAUCGUAGGCACUAAAGGAGUAAUGUGCAGAUUUGACAAUAAAUAUUGAAGUCAUAUGACUUCAGAAGUGCUAUCAGCCAAGGCUUUAUACUCAAUCUCGGUAGAAGACCAAGCAACUGUGCAUUGUUUCCCAGACUUUCAAGAAAUCAGUGUAUAUCAAAAGAAAAUAAGAUAGUCACCCGUAGAUUUACAAUCAUCAACACUACUUGCCUAAUCAACAUUUGUAAAACCAUGCAAGGUGUCAUAACCCAAUUUUUAAACAAAUAAUAAAAAUUAAAUAUAGUUAGUAAUUGGGUUAAGACAACAAAUCUUGAUGUUUAAGGAUAAAAUUAUCAGUUUUGAGAAUAAAUUGGUCAAAAUUGAAGAAUUAAUAAGUUUGGAAAUUUACUUAAAAUUUGGAUUAGUUUAAUUAAUGAAAUUAAAAAAAUUAAUAAGUUUGUGGACUUAAUUAAACUUUAAUUUAAUUAAUUAAAUAAAUUCAGGGACUUAAUUGAAAUUUAUCCAAAAGGGGCAAAAUUGAAAGAAUUAAUUAAGGACCAAAUUGAAUAAUCCAGGAAUUAAGGACUGUUUUGUAAACAGUGCACCAAUUUAGGGAUUUAAGUGAAAUUUAUCCAAUAAAAGGGCAAAAUUAAAAGAAAUUUUUAAUUUUGCUUAAGGGUCCAAUUGCCAAAUUUCUAAAGUUCAGGGAUCAAAAUGGAAGUGUCCAUUGCUGUUUGAAACGUCGUCGUCGGUGGUAGAAUCCCUUGCUGCCAAAACGCCGCCGUUGUUGGUGGAACAACCGUGUGAUCUUCUUCAUCCCGAUUCAACCGGAGACCUGAAAAUCUGCAACAAAUUCAAUCGUGGACCGAGUCCCUUGCACACGAUCUCGUUCGUGGAGGAUACAGUCCUGCAAAGGCAGGACUGAUUAGAGGCAAGCUUGGGGAUCUCUAUAAAUGAGAGACUAAAAACCAGACACAGGAAGGAGGAAAAAGCCAGAAAAAAAGACGAAAGAAAAAGCCAGAAAAACAAAGAAGAAAAACAACAAAAACAGAGCAAUUCUGUCGCACCCGACAGAGCAAACAAAACACAAUCAAAAAAAGAAAAUACAGAGAGAGGAACGAAGACACAGGGGAAGGGGAAACAGCAAAAAAAAAUAACAGAGUGAAAGCAAGAACGAGAAACCAGACUAAAAAGGAGAAUUAUAUUCGCCAUUAGGAGAAUCCCUGCAGAAAAAGCAACCCGAAAUCAGUAAAAAACCUCAAAGAACCCAUUACCUCUCAGCUUCUUCACACUGAGAAUCGAGAAAUCAAAAGCAAGGAAAACAGAGAGGUCACAGCGGGGAGAGAAGGGAGAGUAGCCGGACGAGGGUAACAGUCACCAGCAUCGCGAUCUUCUUCAAUCGCCAGAAACAGGUGCGCCUUCGCUAUACAUUUUUUUUUUCUUUCUUUUCUGUUCUUCGUUGAUUCAAAUAACGUUUGAACAGUGCGAAGGUAAUUUAAUUACCUUCGCACUGUUGAUGCACGCGUGAUCUGUAUCACGCGUGCAUCUGUUUUGUUUUUAAAACCGGGUCACUGGCUUGGGCCAGUGACCCGGUCCAGACUGGCUGGGUUCAGCCCAGCCCCUGUGGGGCUGAGCUGAGCCCAGCCAAAGGUAUGUAUGCUGGGCUGGGUUUAGCCCAGCCCAGCCCCAAAAAUAUAUGUAUGCUGGGCUGGGUUUAGCCCAGCCCAGCCCCAAAAAAAAAAAAUAAAUAAUAAUAAAAAUAAAAAAUGCAUAUGCAUGAAUAAAAAUAAUGUAAAUUUAUUGGUUUAUUCACUGACGCCAGAGUCAGAAUAAAAAACACGGUUUAAAUUUUAUAUUAUUUUUAUUCGUUGCAUUUUAUCUAGCUAAAAAAUAAAAAAUUGCAUGCAAAAAAAAUAUAAUAACAUAAAAUAAAAUAAAUUUAUUGGUUUAUUCACUGACGCCAGAGUCAGGAAUAAAAAUACUAAUAAAAAUUUAUUUUAUUUUAUUUUAUUGUAUUUUUACCUUUAUUUAGCUACAUAAAAUAAAAAUAUUGCAUGUAAAAAUAAAAAAUAAAUUAUUUUAUUUGUUUAUUCACACGCCAGAGUCAGGAAUAAAAAAAAAUUAUUUAAAUUUAUUUUUAUAGCUACGUAAUAUUUACCAACGCCAGAGUUGGAAAUAUUCGUAGUUAAUAUUCACUGGCGCCAGAGUCAGGAAUAUUAAGCAAAUUUUCAUAUAAAAAAUAAACAUUUAGCAAUUUAAGACGAAACUAGCAAUGCAGCCUGCCUCAGGCAGGACGUUUAAGGGGUGAUAAUAUCUUCCUUUUACGUAACCAGUCCCGAACCAUAGAAUCUCUGUUGACCAGUUAGGGUUCCUAGUGACCAUAAUACUAGGUGGCGACUCCUUAAACAAGAAUAUUCCCAUAAAGAACAGGAUGCCAGAAAUCCGUUCUUUCCAAAGAUUUAAAUUAAUUUUUAAGGCCGCCGCGAUGUCGGGUGACAGAAUGGCGACUCCACUGGGGACUAAUGGACUAAGCUUUGCUUUUGUUUAUCAAUUUAUAAUGUUUUUAUGUUGUUUAUUUGUUUAUUUUUCUUGAAUUUACUGCUUUAGCAUGCAUCCAUGUUUAUAUUGUCAUGCAUCACGUUGAGAGCACACACCUAAAUCUAGGAUAAGUGGGAAAGUAACGGUACCCCAAUGGCUUUAGCCUGGGUAAGACUCGUGAAACCAUCCAACUCUCGCUUGAUUGUUUACUUGGAAGUGGUUGAUAUGCCAAACUGAUAUUACUCAGGGCCUCUAUUUUCACACUACUUGUAAGCCUCAUAUCGACCUUUCAUGGACGAUCACUGAGCAUGCGAGAGACCCUUUGAAACUAGAUAAUGACCAACCCUUUGAUGCACUCAACAAUUAGGAUCUUCCUAUUAGGUUGUCAUCCCGUGAAGGACGUGUCUGCAUUCCAUACGCAUUUUUAAUUGAAUCAACAUUUUUGCAUAAAUUGCAUGAUUUACAUUUACAGGUUGAAAUAUAGGUUCCCAUUUGAAACCUACAUAUAAUAAACCCUUUCGAGAAAAGACAAAUGGAAAACGAAGAAAGAGCCCAGUUGGAAGCCCAACAUCAAAAAGAGGUGGACAAUCUUAAAGAAGAAGUCGCAAGGCUUACUAGUCUACUCGAGCAGGCCUUGAGAGAUAAAUCCGGAAAAGCAACACUUACAGCUCAGCCUGAACCUAUGCUUGUAAAUCCCUUCAAUCUACAGAAUCUGGGGGCAAAUGGGUUGUCAUCUGAUUUUCCACAAGCCAUGCAUUUUCAUCCAGCAUACCCCACGAGAAUGUCGUUUACCAUUGAUUCUACAAAGAAUAAAUCUCAAAAGGGCAAAAUGGUAAAAGAAGAUGAGCUGAACAAAUUCAUUGCCCUAGAACAAAGGAUGAGGGCAUUUGAGGGAAUUCACCUAUAUGAUCCUAUAAAGGCUGUUGAGAUGUGUUUGAUGCCCAACGUGGUCAUUCCAAAAAAAAUUUAGAGUGCCAGAAUUUGUUAAAUAUACGGGAACUCAAUGCCCUAUCAUCUCAAAGCAUACUGCAACAAAAUGGCUAAGGUGGUUCAUGAUGAGAAACUGCCGAUUCAUUUAUUUCAAGACAGUCUGAGUAAUGUUGCCCUCACUUGGUAUAUGCGGUUGGAUAAUACCAAAGUUAAAAAAUGGAAGGAUUUAGUUGAUGCUUUCAUGAGGCAAUAUAAGUUCAAUAUAGAUGUGGGCCCUGAUCGUUUAAGCUUGCAAGUUAUGGAGAAGGACAACAAGGAGUCCAUAAGAGAAUACGCUCGGAGAUGGAGUGAGUUAACUGUACAAGUUAACCCUCCCAUGUUGGAAAAAGAGAUGAUCAAUUUAUUUUCCGACACCUUUAAAGCUCCGUACUUUGAAUACUUGAUUAGAAGCUCUGCACAACAUUUCACUGACCUGGUUGUUAUAGCUGAGAGGAUUGAACAAGCCAUUGGGUUAGGUAAGAUUGCUAACCCGACUGAGAAGAACGGUUUCACUGAAGGUGGUUGCCAACGCAUUUAUCAUUUCUAUAGCUAAUUGCUUCACAUCGACUCCUAGAAAUCAACUAUCUUGAAGAUAAAGCUAUGGUGAUAUUAGGUCGAGAAUGAUCUACAUUUGAUUUCAAUUGACUGUUGAAAAGAUGCCCUUGUCGAGGAGAAUGAAUGAUUGAAAUAUUCCAGAAAUUCCAAUCAAUGAUCGCUAAAUGUUUAGCCCCUUUAUAUGUUAUCAUGCCAGUAUUCAUAGCCCAAGAUGUUGUCAUAAGUUCUUUCUUGUUGAACUUAUUUUCUAAAGUUUCAAUGAAAAUAAUGAGUUUGUCAUUCAAUCGUGUUUACGAUUAGCAUUAUUCAUUUUUUUCUGAGAGAGUUUUCUUAUAAAGAUUCACAAACACAUCUUUGAAGCCUUGUGCGAUCUCAUAGACGCAAUUCAUCUCUUUUACCAAAAAUCAGUUUCCCUAUUGGAGUUUUGAAAAAAAAUUGAUCUGGCAUUUUGAUUUCAAAAAAAUAAUUCGAUGUUUAUUCAAAAACGAUAUUUUUGACAUUCUACUUGUAGAAUGACAAGUGAAUCGAACAACUCCAUCAUUGAGGUGAUUAAAUUAGAAAAACAAUUAUGAAAAAAAAAAAGAAUAAACACCCUUACCCCAUUACUCUUGAAUCAUGUGUUUUUAAAUGUAUGAAUAAUGGUAUGUAGUGAACUUGUUACUCAUAACUCAUGAAAUGCAUCUUUGCAAAGAAUAAACCAUCACACUAUACGAGGUCAAAGUUUAUUGAUCAUAGCUGCUUGCGCUUGAAAUGAGGAAAGGCCAUCUUUGUUAUUCCUUUCACGUUCUAAAAUAAGUACAUCCCUUGCAAACCCUUUUUGAGCCUGAAUAAUUUUUCUUCCAUAAAAAAAUCCCAACUAAGAUCACACCCUACACUGGGGGCAAGUGAAAUUUCAAUGAUCAAGAAGGAUGAUAAAGCCAAAAGGCAAAAGAGCCCAAGAAACUCAAAUGCUAGGGAUCAUGCCCACAUCACAAAAAAGGAGGCAAGUGAAAUUUCAAUGAUCAAGAAAGAGGAUAAAGCAGUGAGAAAGCCAAAAGGCAAAAGAGCCCAAGAAACUCAAAUACUAGGGGGCAUGCCCAUAUCACAAGAAAAAGUGAUAACCAAGAUAAAGUGAGUAUGCUCUAGUGGAGCAAUGAAAAAGAAUAAAAGGGGGCAAAUCAAAAAAGAGCGGCAAAGGAAAAUAUGAAUGACGUCAAAAGUCAAACUAUUGAUCGUGAUCUUCAGUCUUUGAAACCCUGAAACACUCUUUGAGCCUUAUGAAUCAUUUUCUUUCAUAGCCAAAAACCACAGCCUAUGUUACGUGCCUGUAGAAGUCCUUUCUAAUCAAGCAAGCAAGCAAUCUAGAACAAUAAACAAUGCUCUCAAAAUGCAAAGAAUACUUCUUCAUAAGAUUCAUGACAUCAAGAAUAAACUACUCAUUAUUAUUCAUGCUGAUAAAAAUAAAUGUUCAAAAAGAGACAAGUUUUUCUCAUACAAAACCUCGAGCUUUUUCUCGAGCCCUUCACUUCAAAACAAAAGGUCAUCUCAUGAUAUUUUCACCGAAGACCUGUUACCAAACACAAGAGCAAAUAAUCUCUUUUCCAGAAAGAAAAUAACCAAGGAGUUGCAAGAUUUCAAAAGCAAAUUGUUAUUGACUCACAUCGAAAUAAUUUUUGUUUUCAAAAUGCAAGAUCAAGAUUUCAAGAUUCAUUCUAGACCCAUAUUCCUUCACCAAACUGAAAAGGAGAGAAAUGAGAGAAUGGCCUCUUAAAACCUUUAUUUAUCUAAGUCGUGACAGAAGCACACUUAGGGGCAAUAACCAAUACAAGGGGGCAACAUUGUGUUUAGAAGGAAAGAUUCUAGAAAAGGAGAUGGUAAUUUCCUUCAACCAGACAAGGGGGCAUUUUGGUUUACAAAAGACAGCUCGAUCCUUUCAAAGUGAUACCGAAUGUUUUUAGCAGUGAGACGAGGGGUAAUGAAUAAUCCUCUCAAAUUAUUUGACGAAUCAGAAAAAUUUAGCAAGCAAGUGGGUCACGAUGGGCACCACAAAUGCUGAGUUGUGCAAACAAAUUUGGAAUAGACUUACAUGGGCCAACUCGAGUGGGCUAGAAGUCAACGACAAAGAUGACUCAAAUCAGAUAGCAAGAUCUCACCAACAAUCAACAAGAAGAUUGUGAAGAAAUGGGGGCCUAUAUUUCAAAUCAGGUAAAGAUGCAUGCAUAUCAUCUAAACUUUGAGACAUUGAGCAAUGAUUUCUGCAUUAGAAAAAAAUUCGAACAGAAUCCAUCCAGUGGAAGGCCACCUUGAAAUGGCGAACAUUGAAAUUGCUUUUGAAAAAUUUUCACUUUUGAGAAUUUUUCAACCUGGGCAGGCCGCCCAUGAGAAUUAGGCCACCAAAAAAAUCUCUGUAUUUUUCCACCACUUUUCAGCCUCAACCUCGUCUGAGUUCUUUUCGAGCGCGCCUUCGAGCCCUCGACCAUUAUAGGUAGUGCAUUUCCUAUCCUACCUCCAUUCGAGCGCGCCUUCGAGCCCUCGUCUUAUUUUUUUUCGAGCGCGCCUUCGAGCCCUCGACCACCAAAGGUAGUGCAUUUUCUAUCCUACCUCCAUUCGAGCGCGCCUUCGAGCCGUCGUCUUAUUUAUUUUCGAGCGCGCCUUCGAGCCCUCGACCAUCAAAGGUAGUGCAUUUUCUAUCCUACCUCCAUUCGAGCGCGCCUUGGAGCCCUCGUCUUACAUUCGAGCGCGCCGUCGAGCCCUCGUCUUAUUUAUUUUCGAGCGCGCCUUCGAGCCCUCGACCAUCGAAGGUAGUGCAUUUUCUAUCCUACCUCCAUUCGAGCGCGCCUUCGAGCCCUCGUCUUAUCCAUUCGAGCGCGCCUACGAGCCCUCGUCUUACAUUCGAGCGCGCCUUUGAGCCCUCGUCUUAUCCAUUCGAGCGCGCCUUCGAGCCCUCGUCUUACAUUCGAGCGCGCCUUCGAGCCCUCGACCAUUAAAGGUAGUGCAUUUUCUAUCCUACCUACAUUCGAGCGCGCCUUUGAGCCCUCGUCUUAUCUCCAUUCGAGCGCGCUUUCGAGCCCUCGUCUUAUCCAUUCGAGCGCGCCUUCGAGCCCUCGUCUUACAUUCGAGCGCGCCUUCGAGCCCUCGACCAUUAAAGGUAGUGCAUUUUCUAUCCUACCUACAUUCGAGCGCGCCUUCGAGCCCUCGUCUUAUCUCCAUUCGAGCGCGCCUUCGAGCCCUCGUCUUAUUUCUCUUCGAGCGCGCCUUCGAGCCCUCGACCAUUAAAGGUAGUGCAUUUUCUAUCUUACCUCCAUUCGAGCGCGCCUUUGAGCCCUCGUCUUAUCUCCAUUCGAGCGCGCCUUCGAGCCCUCGUCUUAUUUCUUUUCGAGCGCGCCUUCAAGCCCUCGACCAUCAAAGGUAGUGCAUUUUCUAUCCUACCUCCAUUCGAGCGCGCCUUCAAGCCCCCGUCUUAAAUCUAUUCGAGCGCGCCUUCGAGCCCUCGUCUUACAUUCGAGCGCGCCUUUGAGCCCUUGUCUUAUCUCUAUUCGAGCGCGCCUUCGAGCCCUCAUCUUUUAAAAAUAAAAAAUAAAAAAAGAAAAAAGAAAAAAAAGGAUAGGUUGUCUUCCAAAGGACUUGUUUUCUCUAUAAAAGUCCUGUGUCAAUCUCUGGUUUUCGAAGUUUUCAAGACUCUAAAAAAAAGGCAAAGGUUCUUUCUGUAUCUAAUUUUCUUUAUAAAUUUACUACACAAAGCUAAAAGAAAAUGAAUUUUCUUUUAACAUUGCAUAGUAAAUAUGAUAAAGAGGGGGCAACUGUCAUAACCCAAUUUUUAAACAAAUAAUAAAAAUUAAAUAUAGUUAGUAAUUGGGUUAAGACAACAAAUCUUGAUGUUUAAGGAUAAAAUUAUCAGUUUUGAGAAUAAAUUGGUCAAAAAUUGAAGAAUUAAUAAGUUUGGAAAUUUACUUAAAAUUUGGAUUAGUUUAAUUAAUGAAAUUAAAAAAAUUAAUAAGUUUGUGGACUUAAUUAAACUUUAAUUUAAUUAAUUAAAUAAAUUCAGGGACUUAAUUGAAAUUUAUCCAAAAGGGGCAAAAUUGAAAGAAUUAAUUAAGGACCAAAUUGAAUAAUCCAGGAAUUAAGGACUGUUUUGUAAACAGUGCACCAAUUUAGGGAUUUAAGUGAAAUUUAUCCAAUAAAAGGGCAAAAUUAAAAGAAAUUUUUAAUUUUGCUUAAGGGUCCAAUUGCCAAAUUUCUAAAGUUCAGGGAUCAAAAUGGAAGUGUCCAUUGCUGUUUGAAACGUCGUCGUCGGUGGUAGAAUCCCUUGCUGCCAAAACGCCGCCGUUGUUGGUGGAACAACCGUGUGAUCUUCUUCAUCCCGAUUCAACCGGAGACCUGAAAAUCUGCAACAAAUUCAAUCGUGGACCGAGUCCCUUGCACACGAUCUCGUUCGUGGAGGAUACAGUCCUGCAAAGGCAGGACUGAUUAGAGGCAAGCUUGGGGAUCUCUAUAAAUGAGAGACUAAAAACCAGACACAGGAAGGAGGAAAAAGCCAGAAAAAAAGACGAAAGAAAAAGCCAGAAAAACAAAGAAGAAAAACAACAAAAACAGAGCAAUUCUGUCGCACCCGACAGAGCAAACAAAACACAAUCAAAAAAAGAAAAUACAGAGAGAGGAACGAAGACACAGGGGAAGGGGAAACAGAAAAAAAAAAUAGAGAGGCACACAGAAAUACAUAAAGAAAUAACACGCAGAGCAGGGGAGAAAAAGGGAAGCACACACACAGACAAGGAUUGAUUAUCCCUGCCAUCGUGUUAUCCCUGCAAAAACAAAAAAUAAAGACAACAAUCGGCAUCCACAGUAAACCGGCAUCUCCAUUGUUGUCUCCUUCGUCAUCUCAAAGUCUGUUAAAAACAAAAAGCAGACCGCGGGCACAAGAACGGAAAAAGCAGAAGAAAAGGUAUCAAGCAGGCGAAAGUCACCACCAGCGUUCCAGCCAGAAUCGUCCCCAUCGCCAGGUACGCGACUUCUUCCUCUUGCAUUGUUUCAGUAAUUGACAUUUACACUGUGCAUGAAUCAUGUGUUUUUAAAUGUAUGAAUAAUGGUAUGUAGUGAACUUGUUACUCAUAACUCAUGAAAUGCAUCUUUGCAAAGAAUAAACCAUCACAGUAUACGAGGUCAAAGUUUAUUGAUCAUAGCUGCUUGCGCUUGAAAUGAGGAAAUGCCAUCUUUGUUAUUCCUUUCACGUUCUAAAAUAAGUACAUCCCUUGCAAACCCUUUUUGAGCCUGAAUAAUUUUUCUUUCAUAAAAAAAAUCCCGACUAAGAUCACACCCUACACUGGGGGCAAGUGAAAUUUCAAUGAUCAAGAAAGAUGAUAAAGCCAAAAGCUAAAAGAGCCCAAGAAACUCAAAUGCUAGGGAUCAUGCCCACAUCACGAAAAAGGGGGGCAAGUGAAAUUUCAAUGAUCAAGAAAGAGGAUAAAGCAGUGAGAAAGCCAAAAGGAAAAAGAGCCCAAGAAACUCAAAUACUAGGGGGCAUGCCCAUAUCACAAGAAAAAGUGAUAACCAAGAUAAAAUGAGUAUGCUCUAGCGGAGCAAUGAAAAAGAAGAAAAAAGGGGCAAAUCAAAGAAGAGCGGCAAAGGAAAAUAUGAAUGACGUCAAAAGUCAAACUAUUGAUCGUGAUCUUCAGUCUUUAAAACCCUGAAACACUCUUUUAGCCUUAUGAAUCCUUUUCUUUCAUAGCCAAAAACCACAGCCUAUGUUACGUGCUUGUAGAAGUCCUUUCUAAUCAAGCAAGCAAGCAAUCUAGAACAAUAAACAAUGCUCUCAAAAUGCAAAGAAUACUUUUUCAUAAGAUUCAUGACAUCAAGAAUAAACUACUCAUUAUUAUUCAUGCUGAUAAAAAUAAAUGUUCAAAAAGACACAAGUUUUUCUCAUACAAAACCUCGAGCUUUUUCUCGAGCCCUUCACUUCAAAACAAAAGGUCAUCUCAUGAUAUAUUUUCACCCAAAACCUUGUUACCAAACACAAGAGCAAAUAAUCUCUUUUCCUAGAAAGAAAAUAACAAAGGAGUUGCAAGAUUUCAAAAGCAAAUUGUUGAUUGACUCACAUCGAAAUAAUUUUUGUUUUCAAAAUGCAAGAUCAAGAUUUCAAGAUUCAUUCUAGACCCAUAUUCCUCCACCAAACUGAAAAGGAGAGAAAUGAGAGAAUGGCCUCUUAAAACCUUUAUUUAUCUAAGUCGUUGACAGAAGCACACUUAGGGGCAAUAACCAAUACAAGGGGGCAACAUUGUGUUUAGAAGGAAAGAUUCUAGAAAAGGAGAUGGUAAUUUCCUUCAACCAGACAAGGGGGCAUUUUGGUUUACAAAAGACAGCUCGAUCCUUUCAGUAAGUGAUACCGAAUGUUUUUAGCAGUGAGACGAGGGGUAAUGAAUAAUCCUCUCAAAUUAUUUGACGAAUCAGAAAAUCUUUAGCAAGCAAGUGGGUCACGAUGGGCACCACAAAUGCUGAGUUAUGCAAACAAAUUUGGAAGUAGACUUACAUGGGCCAACUCGAGUGGGCUGGAAGUCAAGCGACAAAGAUGACUCAAAUCAGAUAGCAAGAUCUCACCAACUAAUCAACAAGAAGAUUGUGAAGAAAUGGGGGCCUAUAUUUCAAAUCAGGUAAAGAUGCAUGCAUAUCAUCUAAACUUUGAGACAUUGAGCAAUGAUUUCUGCAUUAGAAAAAAAUUCGAACAGAAUCCAUCCAGUGGAAGGCCACCUUGAAAUGGCGAACAUUGAAAUUGCUUUUGAAAAAUUUUCACUUUUGAGAAUUUUUCAACCUGGGCAGGCCGCCCAUGAGAAUUAGGCCACCAAAAAAAUCUCUGUAUUUUUCCACCUUUCAGCCUCAACCUCUGAGUUUUUCGAGCGCGCCUUCGAGCCAUCGACCAUUAGCAUUUCCUAUCCUAUACCUCCAUUCGAGCGCGCCUUCGAGCCCUCGUCUUAUUUUUUUCGAGCGCGCCUUCGAGCCCUCGACCACAAAGGUAGUGCAUUUUCUAUCCUACCUCCAUUCGAGCGCGCCUUCGAGCCGUCGUCUUAUUUAUUUUCGAGCGCGCCUUCGAGCCCUCGACCAUCAAAGGUAGUGCAUUUUCUAUCCUACCUCCAUUCGAGCGCGCCUGGAGCCCUCGUCUACAUUCGAGCGCGCCGUCGAGCCUCGUCUUAUUUAUUUCGAGCGCGCCUUCGAGCCCUCGACCAUCGAAGGUGCAUUUUCUAUCCUACCUCCAUUCGAGCGCGCCUUCGAGCCCUCGUCUUAAUUCGAGCGCGCCUACGAGCCCUCGUCUUAAUUCGAGCGCGCCUUUGAGCCUCGUUUCCAUUCGAGCGCGCCUUCGAGCCCUCGUCUUACAUUCGAGCGCGCCUUCGAGCCCUCGACCAUUAAAGGUAGUGCAUUUUCUAUCCUACCUACAUUCGAGCGCGCCUUUGAGCCCUCGUCUUAUCUCCAUUCGAGCGCGCUUUCGAGCCCUCGUCUUAUCCAUUCGAGCGCGCCUUCGAGCCCUCGUCUUACAUUCGAGCGCGCCUUCGAGCCCUCGACCAUUAAAGGUAGUGCAUUUUCUAUCCUACCUACAUUCGAGCGCCCUUCGAGCCUCGUCUUAUCUCCAUUCGAGCGCGCCUUCGAGCCUCGUCUUAUUUCUCUUCGAGCGCGCCUUCGAGCCCUCGACCAUUAAAGUAGUGCAUUUUCUAUCUUACCUCCAUUCGAGCGCGCCUUUGAGCCUCGUCUUAUCUCAUUGAGCGCGCCUUCGAGCCCUCGUCUUAUUUUUUCGAGCGCGCCUCAAGCCCUCGACCAUCAAAGGUAGUGCAUUUUCUAUCUACCCUCAUUCGAGGCGCGCCUUCAAGCCCCCGUCUUAAAUCUAUUCGAGCGCGCCUUCGAGCCCUCGUCUUACAUUCGAGCGCGCCUUUGAGCCCUUGUCUUAUCUCUAUUCGAGCGCGCCUUCGAGCCCUCAUCUUUUAAAAAUAAAAAUAAAAAAAGAAAAAAGAAAAAAAAGGAUAGGUUGUCUUCCAAAGGACUUGUUUUCUCUAUAAAAGUCCUGUGUCAUCUCUGGUUUUCGAAGUUUUCAAGACUCUAAAAAAAGGCAAAGGUUCUUUCUGUAUCUAAUUUUUUUAUAAAUUUACUACACAAAGCUAAAAGAAAAUGAAUUUUCUUUUACAUUGCAUGUAAAUAUGAUAAAGAGGGGGCAACUGUCAUAACCCAAUUUUUAAACAAAUAAUAAAAAUUAAUAUAGUUAGUAAUUGGGUUAAGACAACAAAUCUUGAUGUUUAAGGAUAAAAUUAUCAGUUUUGAGAAUAAAUUGGUCAAAAAUUGAAGAAUUAAUAAGUUUGGAAAUUUACUUAAAAUUUGGAUUAGUUUAAUUAAUGAAAUUAAAAAAAUUAAUAAGUUUGUGGACUUAAUUAAACUUUAAUUUAAUUAAUUAAAUAAAUUCAGGGACUUAAUUGAAAUUUAUCCAAAAGGGGCAAAAUUGAAAGAAUUAAAUUAAGGACCAAAUUGAAUAAUCCAGGAAUUAAGGACUGUUUUGUAAACAGUGCACCAAUUUAGGGAUUUAAGUGAAAUUUAUCCAAUAAAAGGGCAAAAUUAAAAGAAAUUUUUAAUUUUGCUUAAGGGUCCAAUUGCCAAAUUUCUAAAGUUCAGGGAUCAAAAUGGAAGUGUCCAUUGCUGUUUGAAACGUCGUCGUCGGUGGUAGAAUCCCUUGCUGCCAAAACGCCGCCGUUGUUGGUGGAACAACCGUGUGAUCUUCUUCAUCCCGAUUCAACCGGAGACCUGAAAAUCUGCAACAAAUUCAAUCGUGGACCGAGUCCCUUGCACACGAUCUCGUUCGUGGAGGAUACAGUCCUGCAAAGGCAGGACUGAUUAGAGGCAAGCUUGGGGAUCUCUAUAAAUGAGAGACUAAAAACCAGACACAGGAAGGAGGAAAAAGCCAGAAAAAAAGACGAAAGAAAAAGCCAGAAAAACAAAGAAGAAAAACAACAAAAACAGAGCAAUUCUGUCGCACCCGACAGAGCAAACAAAACACAAUCAAAAAAAGAAAAUACAGAGAGAGGAACGAAGACACAGGGGAAGGGGAAACAGAAAAAAAAAAUAGAGAGGCACACAGAAAUACAUAAAGAAAUAACACGCAGAGCAGGGGAGAAAAAGGGAAGCACACACACAGACAAGGAUUGAUUAUCCCUGCCAUCGUGUUAUCCCUGCAAAAACACAAAAAAUAAAGACAACAAUCGGCAUCCACAGUAAACCGGCAUCUCCAUUGUUGUCUCCUUCGUCAUCUCAAAGUCUGUUAAAAACAAAAAGCAGACCGCGGGCACAAGAACGGAAAAAGCAGAAGAAAAGGUAUCAAGCAGGCGAAAGUCACCACCAGCGUUCCAGCCAGAAUCGUCCCCAUCGCCAGGUACGCGACUUCUUCCUCUUGCAUUGUUUCAGUAAUUGACAUUUACACUGUGCAAGUGAAUUUUAAUUCACUUGCAC
rnacentral:lncRNA from 1 species